rnacentral:lncRNA from 1 species
UAAAAACCAAGUAAAACCCGAAACUACUUCAUUUCGACAACAUAAUUUACAUACGAAUUUCCCUUUUGGGAGACCCCGAAGGGAUUACAAAGAGAAAAAGAGGACUACCUUCUGCCUAUCUCCACCACUGGAUGAUACAAUGCCUCAAAGGCUUAUUACAAACUGGAGAUGGCUACUACCAACUACUACUACUGAGGAGAGUGAGGGAAGUGGUGAUCUGGUGCUUGCGAUGCUCUGGAGACUGGUGUUGUGUAGACUGUUGUUGUGUGUGUCUCUCCGCGCUCAGUCCUCCUCCUUUUAUAGUGCGCGAGGGAUGCUGGAUGCUCCCCUCUUUUAUUCUUCUGCGUCAUAGCUGGAGGCCGGGGUAUCUCGUAGCUUGACACGCCUUAUGCACCGUUGAAGUGCCUCAGUGUUUGCGACAUCAAGCCUUGCGUGACUCCGAUGCUAGACUGAUAUUUUUGUCUAGACUGAGAACUUUGUCUAGACUGAGAAUUUUGUCAAGACUGGAAUAUUUGUCUUGACCGCGAAUUUUGUCUUGACUGGAACUUUUGUCUUGACUGGAAUCUUUGUCUUGACAGAUGAUUUUGUCCAGACUGAAGCUCUUGUCUUCAUUGCAACUCUUGUUCUUGUAUGCACCGUGCUAUGAGUUAUCCAUGCACGGUUGAAUAUUGUCUUCAUGCAACUUGGAUGAACGGUCUUGUCUUGAAUGAAGACCUUUCCUGAUACGGAUGUUGCAUGGCUGCAUCUUGCAUAAUUAUUCUUGCUACCAUUAUUAUUGUUAUUAUUAUUAUUAUUUUAUAUUAUUUUUUUACAAAAAUAUAUUAAAUUAAAAUAUAAAGUACUUAUUAACUUCUUACGUAAUUUAAAUUUUGUGAAAUUAUUUAAUUAACUAAUUCUUAAUUAAUAUGCAGGAUCUUUUACGGGUUGGUGAAACCAACGAGACAACCUACGGGUAUGCAGCAGUUGUGUUAAUCCUACUCGGUACUCUCCGUAUUCAUCACUAUGUUGCUUCAGAAGCAGCUAAGUUCUUUCACUUGAUAUUUAUAUUACAAAUUUAUUUGAUGAAUUCCUACCGUCUUCCCAGGCAGUUCCACCCGAAGGGAACACUUCUCUACGGCCACAAGGUUCUCAUUCAAACGCCACACAUCGGCUAAAUAGAGAACUACCGACAGAGGUUUCUCCUAUAGGAUCCCUAGCGUAAGAACUCAUUUCAUAAAUUCAUAAUAUAAAAUCCAAGUAAAACCAGAAACUACUUCAUUUCGACAACAUAAUUUACAUACGGAUUUCCCUUUCGGGAGACCCCAAAGGGAUUACAAAGAGAAAAAGAGGACUACCUUCUGCCGACCUCCACCACUGGAUGAUACAAUGCCUCAAAGGCUUAUUACAAACUGGAGAUGGCUACUACCAACUACUACUACUGAGGAGAGUGAGGCAAGUGGUGAUCUGGUGCUUGCGAUGCUCUGGAGACUGGUGUUGUGUAGACUGCUGUUGUGUGUGUCUCUCCGCGCUUAGUCCUCCUCCUUUUAUAGUGCGCGAGGGAUGCUGGAUGCUCCCCUCUUUUAUUCUUCUGCGUCAUAGCUGGAGGCCGGGGUAUCUCAUAGCUUGACACGCCUUAUGCACCGCUGAAGUGCCUUAGUGUUUGCGACAUCAAGCGUUGCAUGACUCCGAUGCUAGACUGAUAUUUUUGUCUAGACUGAGAACUUUGUCCAGACUGUGAAUUUUGUCCAGACUGGAAUAUUUGUCUUGACCGCGAAUUUUGUCUUGACUGGAACUUUUGUCUUGACUGGAAUCUUUGUCUUGACAGAUGAUUUUGUCCAGACUGAAGCUCUUGUCUUCAUUGCAACUCUUGUUCUUGUAUGCACUGUGCUAUGAGUUAUCUAUGCACGGUUGAAUAUUGUCUUCAUGCAACUUGGAUGAACGGACCUGUCUUGAAUGAAGACCUUUCCUGAUACGGAUGUUGCAUGGCUGCUUCUUGAAUAAUUAUUCUUGCUACCAUUAUUAUUGUUAUUUUUUUUGUGUACGGGUCUACCCCGCCCAUAUUAUUGAUAACACCUUAUCAAUAUUUCGAGUUCUUUCAAUAUUCGGGUAUAGGUCCUCCGUGCCCGAAUAAUUGAUAUUCAUAUCAAUUCAUAUUUGAGUAUAUUUGAUUAUUGUUUUCCCUCUUUAUUCAAUUGGUUGCCCGUGCCCGGCAAUGUCUGUAUGGUCUGUCUCAGAAAUGGUGAAAUCGUAUUUUUGAUCAUAUUCUUUCUUUAGCUCUUCAAAAUUUUGGUUCAUUUUUGAUCGUAAUUCUUUUAAAAUUUCUUCCUUCAAUUCUGCCUUCAUUGUCUUUGUAACUUCUUUAAGUUUUUCAACUAUCUUCAAUUUUAUGUAUUCUCUGUCCAAAGGAUCAACUCCUUUGAUAAGGCAUUCUGUGUAUGAUUUAUAUUUUGAAGAAUUUACUUCAUUUAUAUUCUUUCUAUCAGUUCUUGAUACUCGAAAUAACAUCCUUUCAUUAUCUUGGCCCAAUUUGCGGCAUACUUGAUUUCAUCACGCCUUAUUUGUAUUUCUUCCAAUGUCAUAGCUAUUCCAUCGAACAUAAUAUAUGUUGGUCUUGGUGUAAAAUAUACUGCAGGGUUAUUGAUAUUAGAUUGCAUACAACCUUUUUCUUGUCUUCUGAUUAUGUCCUUAAUAUCCAAUAAGCAUAUUUCCAUAUCAUAAACUUGGAUAUGAUCUUUUGGUCUGAAAUUGAAUGUAUUUGGCGGUAAUAUCCUUAUUCUGGUGUUAUUUCCAGAUAUGUAGCUUUCACUUCCUCCUACAAGUGUGUUUCUCUUCAUUCCUGUAGAAAUGAUGAUCAGAGAAAUAAGUUUGGUAAAUUAUUUUAUUUGCCUUUAAUAUGAUCAUGUAUGACUUUAUAUCUAUUCUCUGUUAUGCUGUCUUCCAUGUUCUGGUAGAACCUAUCUUGCUAUUUAUUUGGUUCUAUUAUUUGAUCUCUUUCUGUUAUUAUUUGCUCUUCUAUUUCCGUGCCUUCAACUAUAAUGUUCUCUUCUUCUGUAUUUGCUUUAUUUUCUAAGUUAGAUUUUAGAUCUUCUAGUUCUGCCUCUAACUUAUUUAGUCUAUUUUCUAGAUUUCUAACUCUGCUAGAUAAUAUUCUAUCUUCAGGUUCAUAUUCUAUUUCUUGUCUCCACCUUUGAUUCGUAGAUUUUAGGCCUGAGUUACAAGCUUGUCUUAAACAUAAACUACAUGUAUACCUAUUCUCUUGGCUGGGGUAAUAUAUGCAAAAGGCACAUUUUAUAUUAUAGUCUCCUUUUCCCCUAAUCCAAUCAUGUUCACAAUCUACCUGGUUCAUCAUCUCUAUUUUUAAUCCUGAUAGAUCAUCUAUUAAAUCGAUUUCAUCUUCACUAGAUUCUUCUUCUAGCUCUUCAUUUUCUAUUUCAUCUGUUUCUAUGAUGGAGUAUAUUGACUCAUCAUCUUUUACUUCAUCAUCACAUACUAGUAUAUUCUCAUUAACACUAUCUAUAAUUAAUACUCUCUCUUGCUCUUCAUAUUUACUAGAGUACCUUUUCUGAUCUUUAUUAGGGCAAGUUUUACUUAAAUGAUCAGGUGAAUUGCAUAUGAAACAUCUACAUGUUUUAUCAUAUGAUUUUCUAGGAUUAUAUCUUCUAACAUUUCUUUUAUGCAGGAAUGGGGCUCUAUUAUCCGAUCUUCGUAAGAAAUAUCUUUUCUUUGUUCUAAAAUUUCUAUUAUCUCUUUGUGGUUUAUAAUAUUUCUUACUCCUGUGUCUUUCUUCGCCAUAUGUUAGUGGUAUUUGGACGAUUUUAUUGCAGAAACUAUAAUCGGAUUUCUUCAUAGACCUCUGGGCCUGUAUACUUGUACAUACCUUUCUAAGAUGUUUAAACACAAACGUUAUAAAUUGAGAUAUAUUUAUGACUAUGCCUGCAGUAUCUUUCUUAUAUUCUUCAAAUAUUAUUGAUCCUAAUGGAUAUGGUAACCUAUUAAAAUACCUUUCAACCACACCUUUAUUGUAGCCUUGCUUAGCUGUGGUAGCAUUGUAUAAAUAAUGCUGAGAAAAUUCCUUUAUACCUUUCCAACUUGUUAAAGUUAAUUUUUCUAUUUCUCUCAACCUUUCAUUUUGCAAUGUGGUAUGACCCAAUUCUGGAUCUUCUGCUAUGACCAUAUUUGAUAUGACAUUGGCAAAGUUAUUAGGAUUACUCCCAGCUCUUUUUAGUUCUUCGUAUUGGUCUGGAUAUGUCUCUACCCAUUGUUCCCAGAAUAUUUUUACUGAUUCUCCCAAAAAUGUUUCAAGAUAUGUUAUCAUAUCUUCCACCUUAUUCCCUAUAUUAUAUUGAUUUUGUAUAUAUUUUUGGACUAUUAAUCCUUUCCACACACUAAUUAUAUUCGGCCAAUCUAUAGGGUCAUGGGCUGUUAAAUUCAGAAUUGCACCAUCAUUCCUAGAGUUUUGGAACUGCACUGCCUUUUCAAAACCUCUUCUUUUAGAACCCAUAAAUGUAUAUUGUCCAGGGAUAUAUGUAGGUUGAUAAUCAUCUUUUUCAGGAGGCCAUUUUCCAGAAGAUCGAGUAGGUCUCUCUCUUUCUCCUUCUCUCUUUACAGAUGACUCGCCAUAACCUCUUCUUCUUUUAUGACCACCUAAAUCUACUUCCAUGGCUUCCAUCACAUUUUCUAAAUUAUGCAGAAUUUUGUCAUCUAACGAGUUUAUAAAAUCAGCAUUUUGCUCGAAAUCAAUAUAAUUUUGAUCUUCAUAUUGAUUCCAUGGUUCUUCUUCUUCUUCUUUAUAUCUUUCUAAUAAUAUCUUAUUAUUGAUAUCCCAUUGAUCUUCUUCACUUAUGGCUUUCUCUUUAUGACUUUCAGCUUUAUUCUUGAUAUCGGUAUUUUCUCCGCGUUUAAUGUUAUUCUUUGGCACCACUGGGUUACUAAUGACUGGUUUUUUAUCCUUUAUUAAUAUUUUUAUUCUCGAAAUUUCUCUAAUAAAGAAUAAUUCUCUUUCUCUUAUUUUAGGCCAAUCUGAUGUCAUUGAAUUAUUAUAUUCCCAGUUUAUGCGUUUUAAUUUUUCUUCCCAAUGUUUUAAUUCAUCUUCUAAGUCUACCUUUUCCAUGCAUUCUUUUACUCCUUUAUUCCUACUAUCACUACUCUCUGCUUCUGACAAAAGAGGUUCUAUUUUGUCUACGGCUGCGGAUUUAUAGUUCAAUAAUCUAAUGCUACUACUUCCUUCGCUAUUUUGGUAGCUUAUAUAAUUUUCUGGCUGCCUCAACUCUUUCUUUUCUAUUAAUUCGCUUAUAUUCCAUUCCUCUCCUGCUCUCUCUUCAGAACCAAUUUUAAGAGGGCUCAUAAAUUUUAUGCCUUUAGAUUGCAUGCUCUCUAUUACGUCAUUUACGUUUACUUUGUAUCUAGAGCUUCUUUUAUUCGUGAGUCUUCCUAUGAAUUCAAUGCUUACUAACAAAUUUGUUCCUUUAAAAUCUUCAUAUCCUCUGGUUUGAAACCCAAAGCUCAUUUUCUCAAUAAAUUCUAUUACAGGCAUCAUUAAGUCUGGAGCUAUAUAUGUUAUUAAUCUAUUUUGAUUCAUAUCUCCUUCCAUAAAGCCUAAUGAUGCUUUGUCUACCGACUCCCAUCUUUUGUCAAGUAAUGUAAUUAAUACCUUCGUUCCUAAUUUCUAUCUUGUCAUUUCUUUUACUCCUAUAAUAUACAUCCCUUGGUGAAUAUAUUUGUAACCUGAAUAUGUAAGUUCAUUCUCAAUAUUUUUGCUAACAAUUCUUAAAUCCACCGGAUGCACUAACACACUUAAUUCUACUUCUCUAGAUAUUCUGUAUAAUCCGCUUUUACUUUCAAAUAUGCCCAUGUGAUAUACAUGUUGCGGUCUUAUUUUUCUUAACGUAUCUCUCUGAUAUCUUUCUAAUUCGCGUUCCAUGUCUAUAACCUCUUCUAAAUUAUCUAUGUCGUCACUUCUGCAUGAUAUCCUAUUCAUCAUGGUUAGCGGCCUAGAAUCUUGCCUUAUUAACUGGAUUGUCUUGUCUCUUCUAGAGACGCUUUUAGAUAGUUCCAUUUUUCAGAAUUAAUAUUUUUAGAGGAUGAGACUAUUCCGGAUGAAGAUAAUAUCAACUCGUUGUUACCUCGUUUAGUAUUUAGCUUUUCCAAAAUCUAGACUAGUAGUUGUAGAAUUGUGUUAUUCUGCCUUAUAAUUAUUCUGGAAUCUUCGUUUGGCAAAUCGUGAUAUGAAAAUCCGACAGAAGGUGUUAAUUAAUUUUCUACUUCUUUUAAUGCUUGGCAAUAUUCACUCAUUCAAGUUAUGAUACGACUAGAGUCUUUACUUCUUGUAUUAACCUUUUAACUUCAAGUAUAUCGCGUCUUGUUUUAGCACCUGAUAAUGAAUCUUUAUUCUUAUUUAUGACACCACUUUGAUUCUUACCAAUGGAUAAAACUUCUUCUUUAAUAUAGUCAUUGUUCUUACAAAUUAUAAGGUUUCUACCUUUCGAUUCUUCUAAUUUCUAUAGAACUAGAUCGAUUUUAUUAUUCAAGCCUGCGUAUUUUUCUACUAACUUUUUGUGUUCUUUUAACAGACUUUCAAAUUUUUGGUCUAAAUUAUCUUGCCUUUUCCCCCAAGUUAUAUAAAAGUUAUGAAUGAGGUCGACAAUUAAAUUUAGUUGGCUAUGACUAGUAUGCCACGUAUGUUCUUCGGAAGGAUUUAUUCUGCACGUAUGCUAAUAUUUUCUUUGGUAGAGAUCAGUCUACCUGUACUAAUUUCUAAAUUCAAAUACUUUAGUCAUUCAAUGAUUAAAACUCUGGCUGAGAUACCAACACACAAAUAUAUUAAAUUAAAAUAUAAAGUACUUAUUAACUUCUUACGUAAUUUAAAUUUUGUGAAAUUAUUUAAUUAACCAAUUCUUAAUUAAUAUGCAGGAUCUUUUACGGGUUGGCGAAACCAACGAGACAGCCUACGGGUAUGCAGCAGUUGUGUUAAUCCUACUCGGUACUCUCUGUAUUCAUCACUAUGUUGCUUCAGAAGCAGCUAAGUUCUUUCACUUGAUGUUUAUAUUACAAAUUUAUUUGAUGAAUUCCUACCGUCUUCCCAGGCAGUUCCACCCGAAGGGAACACUUCUCUACGGCCACAUGGUUCUCAUUCAAACGCCACACAUCGGCUAAAUAGAGAACUACCCGCAGAUGUUUCUCCUAUAGGAUCCCUAGCGUAAGAACUCAUUUCAUAAAUUCAUAAUAUAAAAACCAAGUAAAACCAGAAACUACUUCAUUUCGACAAUAUAAUUUACAUAUGGAUUUCCCUUUCGGGAGACCCCGAAGGGAUUACAAAGAGAAAAAGAGGACUACCUUCUGCCUACCUCCACCACUGGAUGAUACAAUGCCUCAAAGGCUUAUUCCAAACUGGAGAUGGCUACUACCAACUACUACUACUGAGGAGAGUGAGGGAAGUGGUGAUCUGGUGCUUGCGAUGCUCUGGAGACGGGUGUUGUGUAGACUGCUGUUGUGUGUGUCUCUCCGCGCUCAAUCCUCCUCCUUUUAUAGUGCGCGAGGGAUGCUGGAUGCUCCCCUUUUUUAUUCUUCUGCGUCAUAGCUGGAGGCCGGGGUAUCUCGUAGCUUGACACGCCUUAUGCACCGCUGAAGUGCCUCAGUGUUUGCGACAUUCAGCCUUGCGUGACUCCGAUGCUAGACUGAUAUUUUUGUCUAGACUGAGAACUUUGUCUAGACUGAGAAUUUUGUCCAGACUGGAAUAUUUGUCUUGACCGUGAAUUUUGUCUUGACUGGAACUUUUGUCUUGACUGGAAUCUUUGUCUUGACAGAUGAUUUUGUCCAGACUGAAGCUCUUGUCUUCAUUGCAACUCUUGUUCUUGUAUGCACCAUGCUAUGAGUUAUCCAUGCACGGUUGAAUAUUUUCUUCAUGCAACUUGGAUUAUAGGUCUUGUCUUGAAUGAAGACCUUUCCUGAUACGGAUGUUGCAUGGCUGCUUCUUGCAUAAUUAUUCUUGCUACCAUUAUUAUUAUUAUUAUUAUUAUUAUUAUUAUUAUUAUUAUUAUUAUUAUUAUUAUUAUUAUUAUUAUUAUUAUUAUUAUUUGGGUAUGGGUCUACCCCGCCCAUAUUAUUAAUAACACCUUAUCAAUAUUUCGAGUUCUUCCAAUAUUAGACACACAAAUAUAUUAUCAAUUAAAAUAUAAAGUACUUAUUAACUUCUUACGUAAUUUAAAUUUUGUGAAAUUAUUUAAUUAACUAAUUCUUAAUUAAUAUGCAGGAUCUUUUACGGGUUGGCGAAACCAAUGGGACAGCCUACGGGUAUGCAGCAGUUGUGUUAAUCCUACUCGGUACUCUCCGUAUUCAUCACUAUGUUGCUUCAGAAGCAGCUAAGUUCUUUCACUUGAUGUUUAUAUUACAAAUUUAUUUGAUGAAUUCCUACCGUCUUCCCAGGCAGUUCCACCCGAAGGGAACACUUCUCUACGGCCACAAGGUUCUCAUUCAAACGCCUCACAUCGGCUAAACAGAGAACUACCGGCAGAGGUUUCUCCUAUAGGAUCCCUAGCGUAAGAACUCAUUUCAUAAAUUCAUAAUAUAAAAACCGAGUGAAACCCGAAACUACUUCACUUCGACAACAUAAUUUACAUACGGAUUUCCCUUUCGGGAGACCCCGAAGGGAUUACAAAGAGAAAGGAAGACUACCUUCUGCCUACCUCCACCACUGGAUGAUACAAAUGCCUCAAAGGCUUAUUACAACGGGAGAUGGCUACUGCUACUACUGAGGAGAGUGAGGGAAAUGGUGCUCAUAUAUAACCUACUCCAUAACAAAAGGUACCAAAAUACCAUUUAACCAUGGAGCAUUCGGUUCACUACAGCAAUACUGCACUACAGAUUAGCUUUCUGUUUCUUUGCACCCUUAAAGUGCACAAGAACAUCUUCAUAACUGUACUUCUCUGUGAUUUCACUCUCUAUUUUUACUAGCAAACUAUUGGCUAGAUAAUCAUCUUCCAUGGUAUUACGUAGCCUUGCCUUAAUGAUCUUCGAAGUUGAGAAUGCUCGCUCGGCACUUCUUGUAGAAACUGGAAGAGUUAGAAACAAUCGCAACAAUCGAUCAACCAAACUGUAGAUAGAAUGUCUCCCUGUCUCAAAGAGAUAUCGACAAAGAUUUGUUAAGGUUGACACAUUUUUCAACUCUUUAUCAUUGGAGGCAUCCACAACAAAGUGUUUUAGUUGCUGCUCCAAUCCAUAGAUUUCCUGUUGGGUGAAAUCUACUGGAUAAUAUUUCUUGACUAACUCACAAAUAUCAUCAGCUUUGAAAGAUCUGAAUUUAUUUUUAGGGAUCAGGGUAGCACUAGUGGUCAAUAGAUCCAAUACCUUCUCAUUGAACCUGAAUUCUAAUUCAUGUAGUUGAGUAUCAAGUGUUGCACGAAAUACUUCCACUCGGAAAUAGUGCUCCUUAGUAAAAUGAUCUGGUUGGCGACGAUCACGACCACCACAGAAUGUAAGUUUCUCCCAAAUCUGGAAUAUCAAUGGAAUGAUUUACACAUAACUCAACAACCUAUCAAAAAAGGCCUCCCAACCAUCAUCUGAUCUCAUUUCAUCAAGACGAACAUUUGUUGUGAACACUAGACGCAUGGCAUUUACUAUGUCCUGUGAUUUCUUUUGCAAAGCUUGACCAAGAUUUUCAGUUAUCUCCAAUGUUUCUUCCAUCAGACAUAAGACAAAUAUGAACUCAAAAUAAGAUAAGUAAUUGAAAGUAGUGUCUUCAUCUGCACGAAUUGAGCCAGCUGACCCAUCAGAUGCUAUAUUUUGAAGUACUGAAUGUACUGCAUUAAACAUUUUCUUUAGGUUGGAUAUAGAACCUAAUUGAGACCCCCAUCUAGUGUCUCUAGGUCGUUUUAGUGUGCGGAUCUGGUUUGCCCCUUUACCAGUUUCAAUGUCAUCAAUAGCUAGUAACCGAGCUAGUUCCUCCAACUGGACAUCACGAAGCUCAUCAUGGCGCUUUGCACAGGAGUCAAUGGUGUUUACAAUAAAAAGAAGUUUCUGAAAGAAUUGAGCAACAGUGACCACUUACUUCGAUGCAGACACUAGCGCAAGUUGCAAGCGAUGAGCAUAGCAGUGGACAUAAUAUGCACACGGGCAUUCUCUGAGAAAAAGAGCUUGCAAGCCAUUGAAGUCCCCCCUCAUAUUACUAGCCCCAUCGUAUCCCUGCCCAUGAAGGUUCUGAACAUCAAAAGCAUGUUUGGAUAACACAUAACUCAAUACCUCUUUAAGUGUUGCAGCUUUGGUGUUCGUCACAUGUAUCAAGGCAAAGAGCCGCUCUUGCAAUAUACGAUCUUCAUCAACAAAUCUGAGAACCAAUGCCAUCUGCUCUCUUUUUGCUACAUCACAUGUCUCAUCCACUAGAAUAGAAAACUUAGAACCCCCAAUCUCUUCACGGAUAUGUUUCCUAACUUUGAAUGCAUAAAUACCCAAAAUCUCCUGUUGGAUUUCAUGUGAUGUGUACUUUGAACUGUAUGGAGCAUUCUCCAAAAUAAUUUCAGCAAUCUCGGGAUUGAAUUCUGCAAGGAGCUUUAACAAUUCAAUAAAGUUCCCUCUGUUCUUUGAGUCUGGAGUGUCAUCAUGGCCUCUAAAUGCGCACGAAUGUGUUGUAAGCCACUUAACAGCUGCAAUUGAUACUUUCACCCUCAGCUGGUUUCUUUCUAUAUCCCUCUGGUUGCCCACUGCUACAACAUUUUCUAAAUGGCCUUGCUGGUUCAAGAAGUCAUGGCAUGCUUUGAUUGCAUUAUUAUGUUCAGAGCAAGGUUCAGAACCUAUGUGAUUUAAGAAAGCACAUUUCUUUCCAUCAUGGACCUUCUUCCAGUUUACAAAUCCUCGUACUGUAAAGACAUCUGAACCACCUCUCUUGUUUUUGUUUUUGCUGAAAAAGAAACAAUAGACGCAAUAUGCAUGAUGACUGUCCUCCAAGUACUCCAACCAUGAUGGGAAAUCCUUGAACCAGUCAUACUUAAAGCGUCUUUUGCAACCUUCUGGAUAAGCUUUGUAAUUCUGCAAACGGGGCUGCAUAAUACCAAGCUUCAAAUAUGCUCGCUGCACAUCAUCUCUUUGAUUAGGUGGAUAUUGCCAAAUCUGUGGAUGUAGUGCUGGAUCCCGCUGCAAGAAUUCAAUCCCUUGAAAUAGUACUUCAUUUGUUUGAGUUUGAUGUCUUUGUCCUUGCUGUUGAGGCAUUGAAGGAUGUGGUCCGUGUUGCUCAAAUUCGAGCAACUACUGAGGACGUUGUGUUGGAAAUAUGCCCUAGAGGCAAUAAUAAAAUGGUUAUUAUUAUAUUUCUUUGUUCAUGAUAAUUGUCUAUUGUUCAUGCUAUAAUUGUAUUAUCCGGAAAUCAUAAUACAUGUGUGAAUACAUAGACCACAACAAGUCCCUAGUGAGCCUCUAGUUGACUAGCUCGUUGAUCAACAGAUAGUCAUGGUUUUCUGACUAUGGACAUUGGAUGUCAUUGAUAACGGGAUCACAUCAUUAGGAGAAUGAUGUGAUGGACAAGACCCAAUCCUAAGCAUAACACAAAGAUCGUGUAGUUCGUUUCGCUAGAGCUUUUCCAAAUGUCAAGUAUCAUUUCCUUAGACCAUGAGAUUGUGCAACUCCCGGAUACCGUAGGAUGCUUUGGGUGUGCCAAACGUCACAACGUAACUGGGUGACUAUAAAGGUGCACUACGGGUAUCUCCGAAAGUGUCUGUUGGGUUGGCACGAAUUGAGACUGGGAUUUGUCACUCCGUAUGACGGAGAGGUAUCUCUGGGCCCACUCGGUAAUGCAUCUUCAUAAUGAGCUCAAUGUGACCAAGUGUCUGGUCACGGGAUUAUGCAUUACGAUACGAGUAAAGUGACUUGCCGGUAACGAGAUUGCACGAGGUAUUAGGAUACCGACGAUCGAGUCUCGGGCAAGUAACGUACCGAUUGACAAAGGGAAUUGUAUACGGAAGUGAUUGAAUCCUCGACAUCGUGGUUCAUCCGAUGAGAUCAUCGAGGAGCAUGUGGGAGCCAACAUGGGUAUCCAGAUCCCGCUAUUGGUUAUUGACCGGAGAGGCGUCUCGGCCAUGUCUGCAUGUCUCCCGAACCCGUAGGGUCUGCACACUUAAGAUUCGGUGACGCUAGGGUUGUAGAGAUAUGAGUAUGCAGUAAUCCGAAAGUUGUUCAGAGUCCCGGCUGAGAUCCCGGACGUCACGAGGAGUUCCGGAAUGGUCCGGAGGUGAAGAAUUAUAUAUAGGAAGUGCAGUUUCGGCCAUCGGGAAAGUUUUGGGGGUGACCGAUAUUGUAUCGGGACCACCGGAAGGGUCCCGGGGGUCCACCGGGUGGGACCACCUAUCCCGGAGGGCCCCAUGGGCUGAAGUGGGAGGGGAACCAGCCCCUGGUGGGCUGGUGCGCCCUCCCUUGGCCCCCCUGCGCCUAGGGUUGGAAACCCUAGGGGUGGGGGGCGCCUCCACUUGCCUUGGGGGGCAAGCCACCCCCUUGGCCGCCGCCCCCCCUUGGAGAUCCCAUCUCCUAGGGCCGGCGCCCCUAGGGGGCCUAUAUAAAGGGGGGGGGGAGGGAGGUCAGCCGCACCCAAGUCUCUGGCGCCUCCCUCUCCCCUGCAACACCUCUCCCUCUCGCAAGUGCUUGGGGAAGCCCUGCCGAGAUCGCUGCUGCAUCCACCACCACGCCGUCGUGCUGCUGGAUCUUCAUCAACCUCUCCUUCCCCCUUGCUGGAUCAAUAAGGAGGAGACGUCUUCCCAACCGUAUGUGUGUUGAAUGCGGAGGUGCCGUCCGUUCAGCGCUAGGAUCUCCGGUGAUUUGGAUCAGGACGAGUACGACUCCCUCAACCCCGUUCUCUUGAACGCUUCCGCACGCGAUCUACAAGGGUAUGUAGAUACACUCCUCUCUCUCGUUGCUAGAUGGCUCCAUGAAGCGUAGAAAUUUUUUAUUUUCUGCAACGUUCCCCAACAGUGGCAUCAUGAGCUAGGUCUAUGCGUAGUUACUAUGCACGAGUAGAACACAAAAUAGUUGUGGGCGUAGAUGUUGUCAAUUUUCUUGCCACUACUAGUCUUAUCUUGCUUCGGCGGCAUCGUGGGAUGAAGCAGCCCGGACCGACCUUACACGUACGCUUAAGUGAGACAGGUUCCACCGACUGACAUGCACUAGUUGCAUAAGGUGGCUAGCAGGUGUCUGUCUCUCCCACUUUAGUUGGAGCGGAUUCGAUGAAAAGGGUCCUUAUGAAGGGUAAAUAGAAAUUGGCAUAUCACGUUGUGGUUUUACAUAGAUAAGAAACGUUCUUGCUAGAAACCUAUAGAAGCCACGUAAAAACUUGCAACAACAAUUAGAGGACGUCUAUCUUGAUUUUGCAGCAAGUGAUUUGUGAUGUGAUAUGGCCAAAGGAUGUGAUGAAUGAUAUAUGUGAUGUAUGAGAUGAUCAUGUUCUUGUAAUAGGAAUCACGACUUGCAUGUCGUUGAGUAUGACAACCGGCAGGAGCCAUAGGAGUUGUCUUUAUUUUUUGUAUGACCUGCGUGUCAUUGAAGAACGCCAUGUAAAUUACUUUACUUUAUUGCUAAACGCGUUAGCGAUAGAAGUAGAAGUAGUCGUUGGCAUGAAAACUUCAUGAAGACACGAUGAUGGAGAUCAUGAUGAUGGAGAUCAUGGUGUCAUGCCGGUGACGAAGAUGAUCAUGGCGCCCCGAAGAUGGAGAUCAAAGGAGCAAUAUGAUAUUGGCCAUAUCAUGUCACUAUUUGAUUGCAUGUGAUGUUUAUCAUGUUUUACAUCUUAUUUGCUUAGAACGAUGGUAGCUUAAAUAAGAUGAUCCCUCGAAAUAAUUUCAAGAAAAGUGUUCCCCCUAACUAUGCACCGUUGCAAAGGUUCGUUGUUUCGAAGCACCACGUGAUGAUCGGGUGUGAUAGAUCCUAAUGUUCGAAUACAACGGGUGUAAGCCAGAUUUACACACGCAAUACACUUAGGUUAACCUGAUGAGCCUAGCAUGUACAGACACAGCCUCGGAACAUGGAAGACCGAAAGGUCGAGCAUGAGUCGUAUAGAAGAUACGAUCAACAUGAAGAUGUUCACCGAUGAUGACUAGUCCGUCUCACGUGAUGAUCGGACACGGCCUAGUUGACUCGGAUCAUGUUUCACUUAGAUGACUAGAGGGAUGUCUGUCUAAGUGGGAGUUCAUUGAAUAAUUUGAUUAGAUGAACUUAAUUAUCAUGAACUUAGUCUAAAAACCUUUGCAAAAUGUCUUGUAGAUCAAAUGGCCAACGCUCAUGUCCAUCUAAACUUCAACGCGUUCCUAGAGAAAACCAAGCUGAAAGAUGAUGGUAGCAACUAUACGGACUGGGUCCGGAACAUGAGGAUCAUCCUCAUAGCUGCCAAGAAAGAUUAUGUCCUAGAAGCGCCGCUAGGUGAAGCACCCAUCCUAGAGAACCAAGACGUUAUGAACGCUUGGCAGUCUCGUGCUGAUGAUUACUCCCUUGUUCAGUGCGGCAUGCUUUACAGCUUAGAACCGGGGCUCCAAAAGCGUUUUGAGCAACACGGAGCAUAUGAGAUGUUCGAAGAGCUGAAAAUGGUUUUCCAAGCUCAUGCCCGGGUCGAGAGAUAUGAAGUCUCCGACAAGUUCUUCAGCUAUAAGAUGGAUGAAAAUAGUUUUCUUCAGUGAGCACAUACUCAAGAUGUCUGGGUUGCACAACCGCUUGACUCAGCUGGGAGUUAAUCUCCCGGAUGACGUGGUCAUUGACAGAAUCAUUCAGUCGCUCCCACCGAGCUACAAGAGCUUUGUGAUGAACUUCAAUAUGCAAGGGAUGGAAAAGACCAUUCCUGAGGUAUAUUCAAUGCUGAAAUCAGCAGAGGUAGAGAUAAAAAAGGAACAUCAAGUGUUGAUGGUGAAUAAACCACUAAGUUCAAGAAAGGCAAGGGUAAGAAGAACUUCAAGAAGGACGGCAAGGGAGUUGCCGCACCCGGCAAGCCAGUUGCCGGGAAGAAGUCAAACAAUGGACCCAAGCCUGAGACUGAGUGCUUUUAUUGCAAGGGAAGUGGUCACUGGAAGCGGAACUGCCCCAAGUACUUAGCGGACAAGAAGGCUGGCAAAACCAAAGGUUGUGUGAUAUACAUGUAAUUGAUGUGUACCUUACCAGUGCUCGUAGUAGGUCCUGGGUAUUUGAUACCGGUGCGGUUGCUCAUAUUUGAACUCAAAGCAGGAGCUGCGGAAUAAGCGGAGACUGGCGAAGGACGAGGUGACGAUGCGCGUCCGGAAUGGUUCCAAGGUCAAUGUGAUCGUCGUCGACACGCUACCUCUACAUUUACCUACGGGAUUAGUUUUAAACCUCAAUAAUUGUUAUUUAGUACCAGCUUUGAGCAUGAACAUUGUAUCAGGAUCUCGUUUAAUUCGAGAUGGCUACUCAUUUAAAUCCGAGAAUAAUGGUUGUUCUAUUUAUAUGAGAGAUAUGUUUUAUGGUUAUGCCCCGCUGGUGAAUGGUUUAUUCUUAAUGAAUCUCGAGCGUAAUGUUACACAUAUUCAUAGUGUGAAUACCAAAAGAUGUAAAGUUGAUAACGAUAGUCCCACAUACUUGUGGCACUGCCGCCUUGGUCACAUUGGUAUCAAGCGCAUGAAGAAGCUCCAUGCUGAUGGACUUUUAGAGUCUCUAGAUUAUGAAUCGUUUGACACAUGCGAACCAUGCCUCAUGGGCAAAAUGACCAAGACUCCGUUCUCCGGAACAAUGGAGCGAGCAACCAACUUAUUGGAAAUCAUACAUACUGAUGUGUGCGGUCCAAUGAGCGUUGAGGCUCACGGAGGAUAUCGUUAUGUUCUCACUCUCACUGAUGACUUGAGUAGAUAUGGGUAUGUCUACUUGAUGAAACACAAGUCUGAGACCUUUGAAAAGUUCAAGGAAUUUCAGAAUGAGGUAGAGAAUCAACGUGACUGAAAGAUAAAGUUCUUACGAUCAGAUCGUGGGGGAGAAUAUUUAAGUCACGAAUUUGGUACGCACUUAAGGAAAUGUGAAAUCGUUUCACAACUCACGCCACCUGGAACACCUCAGUGUAACGGUGUGUCCAAACAUCGUAAUCGCACUCUAUUGGAUAUGGUGCGAUCUAUGAUGUCACUUACCGAUUUACCGCUAUCAUUUUGGGGAUACACUCUAGAGACAGCUACAUUCACUUUAAAUAGGACACCGUCUAAAUCCGUUGAGACGACACCGUAUGAAUUAUGGUUUGGGAAGAAACCUAAGCUGUCGUUCCUAAAAGUUUGGGGAUGCGAUGCUUAUGUCAAGAAACUUCAACCUGAAAAGCUCGAACCCAAGUUGGAAAAAUGCGUCUUCAUAGGAUACCCUAAGGAAACCAUUGGGUAUACCUUCUACUUAAGAUCCGAGGGCAAGAUCUUUGUUGCCAAGAACGGGUCCUUUCUGGAGAAAGAGUUUCUCUCGAGAGAAGUAAGUGGGAGGAAAGUGGAACUUGAUGAAGUACUACCUCUUGAACCGAUAAGUAGCGCAGCUCAGGAAGAUGUUCCUGUGGUGCCUGCACCAACAAGAGAGGAAACUAAUGAUGAUGAUCAAGGUACUUCGGAUCAAGUUACUACUGAACUUCGUAGGUCCACGAGGACACGUUCCACACUAGAGUGGUAUGGCAACCCUGUCUUGGAAAUCAUGUUGUUAGACAACGGUGAACCUUCGAACUAUGAAGAAGCAAUGGCGGGCCCAGAUUCCAACAAAUGGCUUGAAUCCAUGCAAUCCGAGAUAGGAUCCAUGUAUGAAAACAAAGUAUGGACUUUGACAGACUUGCCCGAUGAUCGGCGAGCGAUAGAAAACAAAUGGACCUUUAAGAAGAAGACGGACGCGGAUGGUAAUGUUACCAUCUAUAAAGCUCAACUUGUCACUAAGGGUUAUCGACAAGUUCAAGGGAUUGACUACGAUGAGACAUUCUCUCCCGUAGCGAAGCUGAAGUCUGUCCGAAUCAUGUUAGCAAUUGCCGCAUACUAUGAUUAUGAGAUAUGGCAAAUGGACGUCAAAACGGCAUUCCUUAAUGGUCAUCUUAAGGAAGAACUGUAUAUGAUGCAGCCGGAAGGUUUUGUCGACCCUAAGAAUGCUAACAAGGUAUGCAAGCUCCAGCGCUCCAUCUAUGGGCUGGUGCAAGCAUCUCGGAGUUGGAACAUUCGCUUUAAUGAAAUGAUCAAAGUGUUUGGGUUUAUGUAGACUUAUGGAGAAGCCUGCGUUUACAAGAAAGUGAGUGGGAGCUCUGUAGCAUUUCUCAUAUUAUAUGUGGAUGACAUACUUUUGAUGGGGAAUGAUAUAGAACUUUUGGACAGCAUUAAGGCCUACUUGAAUAAGUGUUUUUCAAUGAAGGACCUUGGAGAAGCUGCUUACAUAUUAGGCAUCAAGAUCUAUAGAGAUAGAUCAAGACGCCUCAUAGGUCUUUCAAAAAGCACAUACCUUGAUAAGAUAUUGAAGAAGUUCAAUAUGGAUCAGUCCAAGAAGGGGUUCUUGCCUGUGUUGCAAGGUGUGAAAUUGAGCUCAGCUCUGUGCCCGACCACGGCAGAAGAUAGAGAAAAGAUGAGUGUCGUCCCCUAUGCCUCAGCCAUAGGGUGUAUCAUGUAUGCCAUGACCUGUACCAAACCUGAUAUAAACCUUGCCGUAAGUUUGGUAGGCAGGUACCAAAGUAAUCCCGGCAUGGAACACUGGACAGCGGUCAAGAACAUCCUAAAGUACCUGAAAAGGACUAAGGAUAUGUUUCUCGUAUAUGGAGGUAACGAAGAGCUCGUCGUAAAGGGUUACGUCGACACUAGCUUCGACACAGAUCUGGAUGACUCGAAGUCACAAACCGGAUACAUGUAUAUUUUGAAUGGUGGGUGUCGGUGUCAAAACCGGCGGAUCUCGGGUAGGGGGUCCCGAACUGUGCGUCUAGGCGGAUGGUAACAGGAGACAAGGGACACGAUGUUUUACCCAGGUUCGGGCCUUCUUGAUGGAGGUAAAACCCUACGUCCUGCUUGAUUGAUAUUGAUAUUGUGGAUGUUUACAAGAGUGGAUCUACCACGAGAUCAAGGAGGCUAAACCCUAGAAGCUAGCCUAUGGUAUGAUUGUAAUGGUUGUUGUUGUUGUUGUUGUGUCCUACGGACUAGAGCCAUCCGGUUUAUAUAGACACCGGAGAGGGCUAGGGUUACAUAGAGUCGGUUACAAUGGUAGGAGAUCUACAUAUCCGUAUCGCCAAGCUUGCCUUCCACGCCAAGGAAAGUCCCAUCCGGACAUGGGACGAAGUCUUCAAUCUUGUAUCUUCAUAGUCUUGGAGUCCGGUCGAUGAUGAUAGUCUGACCGAUGAUAGUUCGGCUGAUGAUGGUAGUCCGGCUAUCCAGACACCCCCUAGUCCAGGACUCCCUCAGUAGCCCCUGAACCAGGCUUCAAUGACGAUAAGUCCGGCGCAUAUAUUGCUUGGCAUUGCAAGGCGGGUUCCUCCUCCGAAUGAUAGAAGAUGGUGAACACCAGGAUAGUGUCCGGCUCUGCAAAAUAAAUUCCACAUUCCACCGUAGAGAGAAUAAAAUAUACACAAGUUCAAUCUGCUGACGUUUUUUGCGGCAUGACGUCACACCACUACCAAGCCAUUACUUGAAUUGUUUUUUACUCUACCGCCUCAGCGCAUUUAGCGAAGCGGUUUCCUUGGCACGUCUUGUCGAAGCAGAGAUCGUGUUCCCCCUUAAUCCGGGAUUCUCAUCAAUACGGACAUGGUAACCCAACCGCGCCAUUGAUGGUGACGCUUGGGGGAUAAGCGAGUUUUACCAGGCCGGUGGGGGACGCGUAGACUUCGCCCGCCCAUAUAAGGGAUAAGGAUUCACCUUUUCACCUACGCCUUCUUCCUCCUUUGCUUAUCCAUCUCCGCGCACUCGAGCUCCAGCGCCCAAGUCUGCACAUCUCGUCUCAGCCUUCCCCAGUUAUGUCCGGAGCGGGAGGCAAGUGGAUGACCUCCUCCGUUAUGGAGGAGCACAUCGAAAGACUGCGCAGCGCCGGCUACCUGUCCGGCGACAUCGCGCACCGGCUGCCCGACGAGGGGCAGCUCAUCCCCACCCCCAGGCCCCAUGAGAGGGUCGUUUUUCUUCCCCACUUCCUCCGCGAACUGGGUUUUCCACUUCACCCCUUUGUCCGAGGGCUCAUGUUCUACUACGGCCUGGAUUUCCAUGAUCUGGCGCCGAACUUCAUCCUCAACAUCUCGGUGUUUAUCGUCGUGUGCGAGGCCUUCCUUUGCAUCCAGCCCCACUUCGGCUUGUGGCUCAAGACCUUCAAUGUCAAGCCGAAGGUAGUGAAGGGCACUCAAGCGGAGUGCGGAGGUGCCAUGUUGGGCAAGAUGCCCAACGUCCUUUGGUUCGAAGGGGCCUUCGUGGAAUCCGUCAAGGGGUGGCAAUCGGGGUGGUUCUAUAUCACCGAGCCGCGCGACCCUAAGUGGGCGGCGACCCCCGAGUUCAGAUCUGGUAUCCCCAUGCAGCUCACCUCCUAGAAAGAGAAGGGCUUGCUGUGGGGUAGUUCGGAGGAGCGGACGGGACUCCAAGCCUGUAUCCAGAAGCUAGUGAAGAAGCUCAGGCUGGUUAAUGUGGUCCAAGUCAUGCUCGUCCGCCGGAUUCUCCCAUGCCAAGAGCGGGCAUUCAAUCUGUGGGAGUUCAAUCCGGAACAGCACCAGGCGCUGAGCGGGCUCUUCGACACGACGUACGAAGGCGCCUGGAGGGUGCUGUUUAAGGGCGCCGAAGCCCCCGCAUCCACGACUGAAGAUCACGGAUUUUGCUCGCAUCGCAAAGCCGACGAGGUAAGUGAUUCUACCCCUUUACGGGACACUUGCUUUUCAUAGUUUGACUCUAUGCGGGUUUUAAUUUCCCCUUUUCCUUUGACAGGACUGGAUGAGGAAGGCGGAGCAGAUUAUCUGCCGGCUCCCAUGCCAGAAAACCCAGUAGACGCCCAUCUAGCGAGGCUGCUGGUUCCGGCACCGCACGUGGUGCCGGAGAAGAAGGCCAAGAAGGAGGCCACGGGUGCUCGAAAGAGAUCCCGUCUUCAGGUGUCUGACGACUCCGGGGCGGACUCCUCCCCCGAAAAUGAGGAGGAGAAAGAGGACUCUCUCCCAGAGGAGGGAGAGAGGAAGAGGAAGGCUUCCCCAACAGGGGAGGCCGAAGGGUCCAAGAGGGAAAGGACUAUUCCCCCGGACAGCUCUGCCAACAUCAACGUUGGCGAGGAAGAAUGGCCUUCAAGGGCCAGGCCUCCGGCGAGAUCGUAAGUAUCCGGAUUCCUGAAUGAGUUAUAAUUUCUUUUUCUGUGUCACAUAGUGUCAUUCUGAUGCCGCAUGCUGCCUGUAGUCCGGCCAAUGAUGAUCUCCCCGCUUCAUCGAGCGGGUCGUUGGCUCCGUCGGAUGUAGACUCCAUCCCGACCGCCUCCACCCCUCGCGACCCCGAGGACGCCGAGGUGGGAUCCAAAGAAGGGACCCAUCAGGGGGAGGCUCCGGAGGCACCACAAGGCGGCCUCCCGGACUCUGCGCCGGACUCCAUAUCAGAACCCGCAGUGGUUCCGGAGUCCGGCCGGCGGCCCCUUCGCAAUAAGGGCAAGACCGUGACGCCGGCGGCUUCCGUCCAACUGGAGGCGCCAAAAAAUUUGUUGGAGGCGCUCCACAGCGCUUCCAUCGAGGAAGAACACCGCACUAUUAUGAGUGCGGUGAUUCAGAAGGUACAGCUCGCCAAGAGCGGGCUGACCGAAGCCUGCAGUAGCCUUCUAUCAGACUUUGAGGUAAGAAGUUAAAAAUAUGCAAUGUAAUACCGCAUAGACAGUAGCCCCUGAUGCUCGGUUCGGUGUUCGGAAAGAAAAGCCGGACUGAGGAUCUGAAAAAAAAACAAGAUAUACGCAGGGUUGCUAAAAAAUCAUGUCAAUAUGGGUUGCAGGCUGUGCUGCUGACCUCUGCCGCACUGACUGCGGAGGUCGGUGCUUUGAAGCAGGAGCUCGAGCGGUCCAAGCAAGAGCUCGACCGCGCCAAGAAGCAGCUCCAGGACAAAGAAGGUGAGUAACACCACUUUGAACUUGUACCUUACAGAAAAGGAUUUAGGUUGCAACAAAAAAUAACAAGGAUAACAUGGGUACUACAGGGGCCACGAACGAGGUGGCGACCCUGAAGGAGGCCGUGUCUGCGGCCGAACGCAUUGCGGCCGCGGAACGGGCAGAGCGAGAAAAGCAGGAGGCGCGGGUGGCGGUAGUUCAGCAAGAGCUGCAGGCUCUCAUGGAAAAGCAUAAGAGUUUGGAGCGUGACUCAAAGACUCGAGAGUCCGAGCUUGCCUCGGCUCUCGAAAGUGCCAAGACUGCCAAGGCCGAUGCCCAUAAGUCCCUUCAGGAGAUUGAGUUGGUGAGGAAGAUAGCAGCGGGUAAGGCAUUUUUCAUGCAAAGCAAGCAUGUGAAUGUAAAUUACGUGUUACUUACCGAAUUCGGAUCUCUCCAGGGGCGUUUGCAGAUCUGCCUCGCAGCGUGUCUGAUGCCGAGCCGAGGAGGGGAGCUCAACGGAGAAGGUCUUCUGGUCUCAGUAUGCUGAGGCUGGCCAUCCGGUGCCCCCUAGCGACCAGCUGAAGCAGCUGGUCGAGCUUCACAAGGUGGCCGAGCAGGCCAUGAAGGGCCUCAUAGUCCGGCUGUGGCCUGGAGAGGCCAUGCCUGCGAGCUACUUCGGUCUCGUGCGACGGUUGGUGGAUGCGUGCCCCUGGGUGGAGGUUAUCAAGCGCUCCGCCUGUAUUGAAGGUGCUCGUCGGGCCCUUGCCCGCGCAAAGGUGCAUUGGGGCAAGCUGGAUGCGGAGAAGCUAAUCACUGACGCGCCACCAGCGGGCAAGGAAUAUCGUACGCCCGAGAUGUACUAUAAGACUGUCCUGAAGGGUGCCCGCAAGAUUGCGAAUGAGUGCCCCAGAGAUGUAAUUAUUGAGUAAAUUCGCAAUGUGUUAUCCUGGGCGCUGAAAAAUUUGUUCAGAUGCGCUAAGCAACGCUUGUUAAUUUAAAAUAUUACCUUCUGUGCAGCCGUUUAUUAAAUCUGAGAGAUGGCAAGUCGUCGGCUUCAGCCCCCAUGCCACGAGUGCUGGGGUGUUCGGUACAAACUUGAGCACUCUUGUUCCCAUUUUUGGGUCCAUCUAGGGAGGCGCUCAACACAACGAACAAGGCAACUGGACUUAUAGUGCUUGAACACUCUCACUUAGCCAUAGAAUUCUAUAAUUUUAAAUUUCGGCGAAGCCCCUAGUAUUCGGAAGGCCGAAUUAGGGGCGCUAUCCACGCCUUCGUCGGACAUUAUCCGGAACUUCGCUCGAAGCGGCGUAGGUCUUUAAGGACCCGAAAGGACCUCUCGAACAGCGACCAGUCUCUCGCCUUAUGAUGACAGUCAGUUUUAGCUUUCUCCACUGAGGCGUUAACCCGGCUCAACCGGGGCGCAAUCGCAGUGGUUCUCCCAGUGCUACCUUAGCCGAUAGAACGGAACGUAAGGUGCCAAACAUGGGAGCCGGGCAAACCCAACUAUUGACCCAAGACAUGAUUCGGAGCCGAUUCAUAUAAUGCUAUAAGUUCGGGGUGCCGCACUUGUGAAAGUGUUCGGACUUUAUCACACCAUAAUGCGGGGAACAUAAGCCCCUGGUGUAUUUGGCCGUACCAAAAUGUACGGAUGCAACAUGUCGUAAAUGAACAUAUAUAUAUAUAUAUAAGGUAAUGCAAUUAUGGGCAAAAAGUUCUGCAUUUUAUUCGAGAAGAUCUGCUAUGAGUGCAGAAUGAUACAAAUAGUGCGGAAAGCAAGGGAUUGGACGAAUUAAAGGCGUCUCCCUCCAGGGGUAGGCCGCGGAAUGGUGCAUUUAACAAAUUUAAUGCUCGUAAUGGAGACCACCUGAGUGUUCGUCGCAGCCUUUGUCCCUCCCUGGCUGUUGCAUCAUGAGUUCGGCAGGUUCGCCGCCGGACAGAGUUCUAUAUAAAAAAGAGAGAAAUAAAAGAUAAAAAGAGCGACACACUUGGGAGCCCCUGGUGUGGUUGAACCGCACUCUGGGUCUGUUGUGGUUGUGCCUCUCCCCCUAUGCCCAUGGUAUCUCCAGGGCGUAAUUAUGUAUGUGGAGAGUUUAUCUUACAAUUGUGCGAGGGCUGGGGUUGAGGCCGCAUUGCUACGCGUGCUCGGAACGUGCCAGGUGGUCUUGGUUGAUGUUGCUCCGGGCGCGUUUGGCCGUGUCUGGUCGUUUAACGGCCGGACUCAAAAAUUGCCUUAAAAGGCUGCUCUGUACUUCUGCCACGAGAGCCGCUGUAUGUUACUCCGUUCGGAGGGAGCGUUCCGUAUUUCCAUUGACCGUGAUGACUCCACGAGGGCCUGGCAUCUUGAGCUUAAGGUAUGCAUAAUGCGGCACCAUGUUGAAUUUUGCGAACGCGGUUCGUCCGAGCAGAGCGUGAUAGCCACUGCGGAACGGGACUAUGUCGAAGAUUAACUCCUCGCUUCGGAAAUUAUCCGGGGAUCCGAAGACCACUUCCAGUGUAACUGAGCCUGUACAACUGGCCUCUACACCUGGUAUGACGCCUUUGAAGGUUGUCUUUGUAGGUUUAAUCCUUGAAGGGUCUAUGCCCAUCUUGCGCACUGUAUCCUGAUAAAGCAGGUUCAGGCUACUGCCACCGUCCAUCAGGACUCUCGUGAGGUGAAAUCCAUCAACGAUUGGGUCUAAAACCAAUGCGGCGAAUCCGCCAUGGCGGAUACUGGUCAGAUGGUCUCUUCGAUCGAAAGUGAUCGGGCAAGAGGACCAUGGGUUGAAUUUUGGGGCGACUGGCUCCAUCCCGUAUACGUCCCUUAGUGCACGCUUCCGCUCCCUCUUGGGUAUAUGCGUUGCGUAUAUCAUGUUUACCGUCCGAACUUGAGGGGGGAAUCCCUUUUGUCCUCUGUUGUUCGACGACCGGGUCUCUCCCUCGUCAUCGCUGUGUAGCCCCUUGUCAUUGUUUUCGGCAAUUAAUUUGCCUGCCUGCUUGAAUACCCAACAAUCUCUGUUGGUGUGGUUAGCUGGCUUUUCGGGGGUUCCGUGUAUUUGACAGGAGCGGUCGAGUAUUCAGUCCAAAUGGGACGGGCCCGUAGUUGUUCUUUUGAAUGGCUUCUUCCGUUGACCGGGCUUGGAGCCUCGGAAUCCGGCGUUGACUGCCGUAUCCUCAUUGCUGUCGCCGUUAAUGCGGUGUUUGUUUUUGUUUUGACGCGACCUGCCAUUGCGGUCCUUGGUAUCCGGACUGCCAGCGUUUUUGCUGAGGUUGUUGCUGCGAGCGAGCCAGCUAUCCACUCCCGCGCAGAAGCGGGUCAUAAGUGAUGUGAGGGCUGCCAUGGAUUUCGGCUUUUCCUGUCCUAGGUGCCGGGCCAGCCACUUGUCACGGAUGUUAUGUUUGAAGGCAGCGUGGGCCUCUGCAUCCGGACAGUCGACGAUUUGAUUUUUCUUUGUUAAGAACCGUGUCCAGAAUUGCGUGGCCGAAUCGUCUGGCUGCUGGAUUAUGUGGCUUAGGUCAUCUGCGUCCGGUGGUCGCACAUACGUGCCCUGGAAGUUGUCUAGGAAUGCGGCUUCCAGGUCAUCCCAGCAUCCAAUUGACUCUGCAGGCAGGCUGUUAAGCCAAUGCCGAGCUGGUCCUUUAAGCUUGAGCGGGAGAUAUUUGAUCGCGUGAAGAUCGUCGCUGCGGGCCAUAUGUAUAUGGAGGAGAUAAUCCUCAAUCCAAACCGCGGGGUCUAUUGUGCCAUCGUAGGAUUCGAUAUUAACGGGUUUAAACCCUUCAGGGAUUUGAUGAUCCAUUACUUCGUCAGUGAAGCAUAGUGGGUGUGCGGCGCCUCUGUAUUGAGCAAUAUCGCGACGUAGCUCGAGAGAGCAUUGUCUGCUGUGUUCGGCCCGGCCGGAGUAGUUGUAUCCGGCGCGACGGUAUUCGUCGCGGGUCUUGGGGCGCCCACGUGAUCCAUAGAUAGAUCUGGAUUGUCUUGCCUUGUCCUCCAAUAUAUCCCGCAAGUCCGGCGCGUUCCUCCGUGGCUUCAUGCUUUUUGAGCGCCGCUGGGGUACGGUUUUGGUGGAGGGCCUGCAUGCCUCUCUGUCGCGGCCACGAGGUGGUCGGUCUGCCGUAUUGUGCGCUGGUGAUGCAGGUUUGUAUGCUUCCUCCUCUAGUUGGGGGAGCAACUUGCGUUUUGGGUAACUUUUGGAGGGGCAUUCGAGUUCAUACUCUUCGGCCGCGAGGACCUCGGUCCAUCUGUCGGCCAGUAGGUCUUGAUCAGCUUGAAGCUGUUGCUACUUUUUCUUUAGGCUGUUUGCCAUGGCCAUUAGCCUGCGUCUGAAACGCUCUUGUUCAACGGGAUCCUCAGGCACGAAGAAUUCGUCGUCGUUGAGGCUUGCCUUGUUUCCGGAGGGAGUUAAGUAAUUAUCAUCCUCGACCUCUUCGUCUGCCGCCCUCUCAUGGGGGCUUGCUUCUGCCUCCUCCUAUGCUGGAUCGUGCUGGAGGGGGUUGUCUUCGGCACUUUCCAGGGUGUUAUUCUCUCCUGUGCCAGAAUCUCCAUUCUUGCUGUGGCAGGAUUUAGAGAGGCGCCGCUGACGUCGGCGCUUGGGCUGUUUCUUUAAGGAAUCGGCCUCCGUUGCUUCUUCGCCGUCCCCAUCUUUUGGGGUGUCCACCAUGUAUAUGUCGUAUGACGAGGUGUUCUUCCAGGGUCCUGUAGGCACUGGUUCUUGAUAGUCUCCGGCAUCGUCGUCCAUACCGUCGAUGUCUUCGGAGUCGUAGUCAAGUACGUUGGUUAGAUCGUCGACGGUGGCUACGUAGUGGGUGGUGGGUGGGCUCUGAAUUUCUUCGUCGUUCGCGUCCCAACCAUCCUGGCCGUAGUUCGGCCAGGGCUCUCCAGAUAGCGAGAGAUGCUUCAACGAAUUUAAGAUAUCGCCAAAGGGUGAGUGCUGAAAGAUGUCCGCAGCGGUGAAUUCCAUGAUCGGCGCCCAAUCGGAUUCGACUGGCAGGGGCGCAGGAGGUUCGGAGUCCGGCAGAGAGUCCGGUACCUCGGAGUCACGAGCUUUAUGCGGGACAAGGUAAGUGUUCGGCUCCAUCGCCGUAGAAGUUGCAGCUCCCGAGGUGGUGUCCAGCCAUCCGUCCUCGAUCUGAGCGGUCGGCUCCAGACCAUGGGUCGGACCGGAUUCGUGUGCGGCCUCCAAGGUGCUGUCCGGCGGCAGAGUUAGGUCGUGCCCAUCGUGACAGGGCCGCACGCUCGGCUGUGGCUCAGAUCCAUCGAAGAUCAAGUCCCCGCGGAUAUCGGCCGUGAAGUUUAGGCUUCCAAACCUGACCUGACAGCCAGGGGCGUAGCUUUCGAUCUGCUCCAGAUGGCCAAGUGAGUUGGCCCGCAGUGCGAAGCCGCCGAAUACGAAGAUCUGUCCAGGGAGAAAAGUCUCCCCCAGGACUGCGUCGUUGUCGAUUGAAGAGGCCAUCAAGCCUAUCGGUGACGACACAGAGGAACUCUCAAUGAAAGCACCAAUGUCGGUGUCAAAACCGGCGGAUCUCGGGUAGGGGGUCCCGAACUGUGCGUCUAGGCGGAUGGUAACAGGAGACAAGGGACACGAUGUUUUACCCAGGUUCGGGCCCUCUUGAUGGAGGUAAAACCCUACGUCCUGCUUGAUUGAUAUUGAUAUUGUGGAUGUUUACAAGAGUGGAUCUACCACGAGAUCAAGGAGGCUAAACCCUAGAAGCUAGCCUAUGGUAUGAUUGUAAUGGUUGUUGUUGUUAUUGUUGUUGUUAUGUCCUACGGACUAGAACCAUCCGGUUUAUAUAGACACCGGAGAGGGCUAGGGUUACAUAGAGUCGGUUACAAUGGUAGGAGAUCUACAUAUCCGUAUCGCCAAGCUUGCCUUCCACGCCAAGGAAAGUCCCAUCCAGACAUGGGACGAAGUCUUCAAUCUUGUAUCUUCAUAGUCUUGGAGUCCGGUCGAUGAUGAUAGUCCGGCCGAUGAUAGUUCGGCUGAUGAUGGUAGUCCGGCUAUCCGGACACCCCCUAGUCCAGGACUCCCUCAGUGGGGCAGUAAGCUGGUGCAGUUGCAAGCAGAGCAUCGUGGCGGGAUCUACAUGUGAAGCGGAGUACAUGGCAGCCUUGGAGGCAGUGCAUGAAGCUAUCUGGGUGAAGGAGUUCAUCACCGACCUAGGAGUCAUACCCAAUGCGUCGGGGCCGAUCACACUCUUUUGUGACAACACUGGAGCUAUUGCACUUGCCAAGGAGCCCAGGUUUCACAAGAAGACCAGGCACAUCAAGCGUCGCUUCAACUCCAUUCAUGAAAAUGUUCAAGAUGGAGACAUAGAUAUUUGUAAAGUACAUACGGACCUGAAUGUAGCAGAUCCGUUGACUAAACCUCUCCCUAGAGCAAAACAUGAUCAACACCAGAACGCAAUGGGUGUUCGAUACAUCACAAUGUAACUAGAUUAUUGACUCUAGUGCAAGUGGGAGACUGUUGAAAAUAUGCCCUAGAGGCAAUAAUAAAAUGGUUAUUAUUAUAUUUCUUUGUUCAUGAUAAUUGUCUAUUGUUCAUGCUAUAAUUGUAUUAUCCGAAAAUCGUAAUACAUGUGUGAAUACAUAGACCACGACAAGUCCCUAGUGAGCCUCUAGUUGACUAGCUCGUUGAUCAACAGAUAGUCAUGGUUUCCUGACUAUGGACAUUGGAUGUCAUUGAUAACGGGAUCACAUCAUUAGGAGAAUGAUGUGAUGGACAAGACCCAAUCCUAAGCAUAGCACAAAGAUCGUGUAGUUCAUUUCGCUAGAGCUUUUCCAAAUGUCAAGUGUCAUUUCCUUAGACCAUGAGAUUGUGCAACUCCCGGAUACCGUAGGAGUGCUUUGGGUGUGCCAAACGUCACAACGUAACUGGGUGACUAUAAAGGUGCACUACGGGUUGGCACUAAUCGAGACUGGGAUUUGUCACUCCGUAUGACGGAGAGGUAUCUCUGGGCCCACUUGGUAAUGCAUCAUCAAAAUGAGCUCAAUGUGACCAAGUGUCUGGUCACGGGAUCAUGCAUUACGGUACGAGUAAAGUGACUUGCCGGUAACGAGAUUGAACGAGGUAUUGGGAUACCGACUAUCGAGUCUCGGACAAGUAACGUACCGAUUGACAAAGGGAAUUGUAUACGGGAUUGAUUGAAUCCUCGACAUCGUGGUUCAUCCGAUGAGAUCAUCGAGGAGCAUGUGGGAGCCAACAUGGGUAUCCAAAUCCCAUUGUUGGUUAUUGACCGGAGAGGCGUCUGGGUCAUGUCUGCAUGUCUCCCGAACCCGUAGGGUCUACACACUUAAGGUUCGGUGACGCUAGGGUUGUAGAGAUAUGAGUAUGCAGUAAUCUGAAAGUUGUUCGGAGUCCCGGAUGAGAUCCCGGACGUCACGAGGAGUUCCGGAAUGGUCCGGAGGUGAAGAAUUAUAUAUAGGAAGUGCAGUUUCGGCCAUUGGGAAAGUUUCGGGGGUCACCAGUAUUGUACCGGGACCACCGGAAGGGUCCCGGGGGUCCACCGGGUGGGGCCACCUAUCCCGGAGGGCCCCAUGGGCUGAAGUGGGAGGGGAACCAGCCCCUGGUGGGCUGGUGCGCCCCCCUUGGCCCCCCUGUGCCUAGGGUUGGAAACCCUAGGGAUGGGGGGCGCCUCCACUUGCCUUGGGGGGCAAGCCACCCCCUUGGCCGCCCCCCCCCUUGGAGAUCCCAUCUCCUAGGGCCAGCGCCCCCCAGGGGGCCUAUAUAAGGGGGGGGAGGGAGGGCAGCCGCACCCAAGUCUCUGGCGCCUCCCUCUCCCCUGCAACACCUCUCCCUCUCGCAAGUGCUUGGCGAAGCCCUGCCGAGAUCGCUGCUGCAUCCACCACCACGCCGUCGUGCUGCUGGAUCUUCAUCAACCUCUCCUUCCCCCUUUCUGGAUCAAGAAGGAGGAGACAUCUUCCCAACCGUAUGUGUGUUGAACGCGGAGGUGCCGUCCGUUCGGUGCUAGGAUCUGCGGUGAUUUGGAUCACGACGAGUACGACUCCGUCAACCCCGUUCUCUUGAACGCUUCCGCACGCGAUCUACAAGGGUAUGUAGAUGCACUCCUCUCUCUUGUUGCUAGAUGGCUCCAUAGAUUGAUCUUGGUGAAGCGUAAUUUUUUUUAUUUUCUGCAACGUUCCCCAACACGUCAACACAGUCCGUUGGCUGAAUAGGCAUUGCUUCGGUUGCUGUUGGUUCAUCAACUGAAUCAACUCUCUUUCUUUUAAAAAAUGCAUCAAUCUUUUUCCCCUUAAGCAUCAUGCCUCCGUCUCACAAUCUCACUGUAAAGGACAUUUUCUAUUCAAUACAAAAUGCAAUUGAAUAAAUCCAUGACCAGAUGACCUAAUUAGAAUUUUCCUCAACUAAGGUGAAAUAAACUUCAAAAUCAAAAUAAUUUGAACUUUCUAUAAUUUCUAGAGGGGAAAGAUAGAGAGAGAUCCAACAAUUUACAGAGCACUGUUGACAGGGUCCAAAUAACCAGUACAGAGCAGUGUUGACAAAGUAGCUAGCUAGCUUGCUAGAAUGCCCAGAUUGGAGAGAUUGAUUAGAAGACUAGGCAACGUAAAGGAGAAAAGGCAAGUUCUAGCAAGGGCAGCUGCUCAUCGGCUCACCGAGGCACUACAGGGCGCCGAUGUUGCCUGAUGUUCUCCGCAGCAGAGGCCGGAUUGGAGCGGCUAGCCGGCCACCCGCAAACGGCCAGCGGUCACCCCCAUGCGGCCAUACCGGCAAACCACAUCGGCCGCCUGCCGGACGCCGGUGCCCCACCCCCACGCUCAGGUUGUCAUGCGUCCACGGACGCAGACGGUAGGUCAAAGGGGAAAUCGAUUUGGUCGCUGGCUAAAUUCAUUCGUCUCUAGGCAAAGACAACAGUUGAUAAAUGGAUCUUCUGCUCGUGGGCUGUGUGUAAUACAUAGGGGUAGUAAAAAAAUUCGUUUUCGCUGGGGGGCGAUGGCCCAGGUUCGCCCCCACCGAGCUCUGCCAUUGGGCUGGUGUGUGGGCAUUCAUCCAGUCGCCCACACGUCCAUUUCACCACAUGGAGGGGCCGGUGUGUGGGCAGCAGUUCGCCCACACGCCAGUUUUCACUCAUGCAUAAGGGCUGGUGUGUGGGCAUUUGCCAUCUCACCCACACGCCCGUCUCCUCUCCCACACCCAAGCUGCCAGUUGCCAUGUGUAUUGCAGUGUACAUGGUAACUGCCCUAGUGUGCUUGUAAGCAGAUGGCAACUCUCUCUUUAUCUGAACAUGUCAGUUGCCAUGUGUUUUGCAGGGUACACAACAACUGCCCUAGUGUGCUUGUUGUUGGGAUCUAUGGUAGGGAGCGUCAAUUGCAAAUUAAAAUUUCCUACACGCAGAACAACAUGAACAUGCUACGGGAGAUGGAUCACAAAUCGUUACUACUAGACGCGCAGUGCCGUGCAGCGGAAGUAGAGUUGACGCAACGCGUCCGCGCGGAUCGUCUCCUCCUCGUCCGAUCUCCCUCGAACAGCUGGUCGUCAGAUCCCACGUACAAGUUCGCUGGAGCAGCGCAAGUGCACCGCCUCUAAUGGUAUCCGCGCGUGCAGGACGAACACCGUGUGGCGGACUGCUAGGUCCGAUCACACAGUCGGCGGCGAGUGGAGGUGGCUAUUCGCAACACAUGCAAACCCUAGUGACAGCGCCGAAGCGAUCAAUCGAAUGAGUGAGCUGCACCUCCACUUUAUAUAGGCGUCCGUCGCGGGCUCAACACUUCGGCCUUGCACGGACCCUAAAGCCCAAAGUCUACUCGGUCGUGUUCCAAGUCCAGCUCGGAUCACAUCCGACCAGUGUCCUCCGAACCGACCUCGUGGGUUCCUUCCCUUAAGCGCGCGACCCCUUAGGUUCAAGUCGGCUUGGUCGCAGUUCGGAUCACCUCCGACCUGCACAGUUGGUAGCGGCCUCUAGCAAGGUGUGCCGACCACCAAGUUGACUAUGAAGCUGGUUAGGCGAACCUGUACAAGGUGUCACACUUAUGUUCCCUUUACCUCACGAUAUAUGUUGUCGGGCUCAAGGCGAGACUGUCAUCCUUGUGCUAGCCCGACCUCUUUCUCGUUUCCAGUGACGCCGAUCACAAUCCGGAUUAUCUCAUAAUCCUUGUCGCAUGGCCAUGCUUCUCUUGGUCGGAUCACACGAGGGGCCCAGAGUAUAUCUCUCCUGAUCGGAGGGGCAAAUCCCAUCUUGCUCGACCACGUCUCACAACAUGGGUCUGGACAAGCCUGAAACCUACCUUUGUAACUACCUAGUCAUGGAGUAGCGUUUGGUCGGCCCAAAGCAAGACUGUCACCAUCCCGAGUACAUGCGUCAGCUCAGGUCUUCGAACAUAGAACGUAUGUUGUACUAGAGACUCACAGAUGACAUAUCGCUGCGUCUCAUAGUUGGGUCUGUCCGACUCAGACCUUAUCUCGACUCGGAUUCGACUAUGUCGAAUCCGACUAGAUCCUUCCGAGUCCAUAUUAUUCGGUUAGCAUCCAAUGCUCCAUGGCUAGUUCUACGUCUUGACCUUACGUUGGUUUUUCCCUUGAAGAGGAAAGGGUGAUGUAGCAAAGUAGCAUAAGUAUUUCCCUCAGUUUUUGAGAACCAAGGUAUCAAUCCAGUAGGAGGCUCCUCAAAAGUCCCACGCACCUACACAAACAAACAAGAACCUCGCAACCAACGCGAUAAAGGGGUUGUCAAUCCCUUCACGGUAACUUGCAAAAGUGAGAUCUGAUAAAGAUAAUAUGAUAAGAUAAAUAUUUUUGGUAUUUUUAUGAUAUAGAUUGGAAAAUAAAAGAUGCAAAUAAAAGUAGAUGGAAAACUUAUAUGAUAAAAGAUAGACCCGGGGGCCAUAGGUUUCACUAGUGGCUUCUCUCAAGAUAGGAUAAGUAUUAUGGUGGGUGAACAAAUUACUGUCGAGCAAUUGAUAGAAAAGCGCAUAGUUAUGAGAUUAUCUAGGCAUGAUCAUGUAUAUAGGCAUCACGUCCGUGACAAGUAGAUCAAAACGAUUCUACAUCUACUACUAUUACUCCACACAUCGACCGACUCCUGCCUGCAUCUAGAGUAUUAAGCUCAUGAAGAACAGAGUAACGCAUUAAGAAAGAUGACAUGAUGUAGAGGGAUAAACUCAUGCAAUAUGAUAUAAACCCCAUCUUUUUAUCCUCGAUGGCAACAAUACAAUACAUGCCUUGCUGCCCCUGCUGUUACUAGGAAAGGACACCGCAAGAUUGAACCCAAAGCUAAGCACUUCUCCCAUUGCAAGAAAUAUCAAUCUAGUAGGCCAAACCAAACUGAUAAUUCGAAGAGACUUGCAAAGAGAACAUAAUCACACAUAAAAGAAUUCAGAGGAGAUUCAAAUAUUUCUCAUACAUAAACUUGAUCAUAAACCCACAAUUCAUCGGAUCUCGACAAACACACCACAAAAAGAAUUACAUCGAAUAGAUCUCCAAGAAGAUCGCGGAGAAUUUUGUAUUGAGAUUCAAAGAGAGAGAAGAAGCCAUCAAGCUAAUAACUAUGGACCCGAAGGUCUGUGGUAAACUACUCACAACUCAUCGGAGAGGCCUUGGAGAUGAUGUAGAGGCCCUCCAUGGUCGAUACCCCCUCCGGCGGAGCGCCGGCGAAGGCUCCAACAUGGGAUCUCGUGGAUACAGAAGGUUGCGGUAGUGGAAAUAGUUUUUCGUGGUGCUCCUGGAUGUUUUCGGGGUACGUGGGUAUAUGUAGGAGGAAUAAGUACGUCUGUGGAGAAACGAGGGGCCCACGAGGGUGGGAGGCGCGCCCACCCCCAGGGGGCACGCUGGCACCCUCGUGGCCGCCUCAUUCGUUGCUUGAUGUCCACUCCAAGUCUCCUGGAUUGCGUUUUCUCCAAAAAGAUCACUGAGGGAGUCCUAGAUUGGGGGGGUAUCCGGACAGCCGGACUGUAUACAUCGUCCGGACUACUGAAGUGUGAAGAUACAAGACUUGAGACUUCGGCCCGUGUCCGGAUGGGACUCUCCUUUGCGUGGAAGGCAAGCUUGGCGAUCCGGAUAUUGUGUUUCCUUCCUUGUAACCGACUCCAUGUAAACCCUAGCCCUCUCCAGUGUCUAUAUAAACCAGAGAGGUUGGUCCUUAGAAGGCCGAUCACAAUUACAAUCAUACCAUCAUAGGCUAGCUCUUAGGGUUUAGCCUCUACGAUCUCGCGGUAGAUCUACUCUUGUAUUACUCAUAUCUUCAAUACUAAUCAAGCAGGAAGUAGGGUUUUACCUCCAUCGAGAGGGCCCGAACCUGGGUAAACAUUAUGUCCCUUGGUUCCUGUUACCAUCAGCCUAAGACGCACAGAUCGGGACCCCCUACCCGAGAUCCGCCGGUUCUGACACCGAAAUUGGUGCUUUCAUUGAGAGUUCCUCUGUGUUGUCGCUGCAGGGCUUGAUGGCGCCUUCAACCGUCAACAACACGAUCCGGGGGAGACUUUUCUCCCUGGACAGAUCUUCAUGUUCGACGGCUUCGCACUGCGGGCCAAUUCGCUUGGCCAUCUGGAGCAGAUCGAUAGCUACGCCCCCGGCCACCAGGUCAGGUUCGGAAACUUGAACUACACAUCGGAUAUUCACGGAGACUUGAUCUUCGACGGAUUUAGGCCUGCGCCAGGAGCACCGAACAGUCACGACGAGCACGGUUUAGACCUGUUGUUGGACGAAGCUCGGGAUAUCACCCCUGCAAUAGCCUCGAAUCUAAAUCCGGAACAGGUUGCGUUGCCUAAGGGCGGAGGGGUGGACCCCACCCCGCAGGCCGCACACUCAUCGGCGGUGGAUUCAAACACAUGUCUCAUCGCUGUGGGAGCCUGUAACCCCGGGGCUCCCGGACUCGUAUCCGGUUGUUGGUUCCGGUCCGCACACCCUCGAGCCAGCCGAGCCAGGUUGGGCUCCAGUAAUGUAGUUUACCAUUGCGGACAUCUUCCAGCACUCACCCUUUGGCGACAUGCUGAACUCAUUAAAGUCUCUCUCUUUGUCAGGAGGCUCUGGGCCGAACUAUGUCCGGCUUGAGUGGGAAGCAGGCGACGAAGGAAUUCGCUGCCCACCCACCACCCACUUCAUUGUCACGGUCGAUGAUUUAACCGACGUGCUUGACUUCGACUCUGAAGACAUCGACGGUAUGGACGACGAUGCAGGAGAAUUACUGGAGCCACCACUCACAGGGCGGUGGACGGACACCUCCUCAUAUGAUAUAUACAUGGUGGACACUCAGAAGGAAACCAAUGGCAACAAGGCAACGGAGGAUAACCCCUCAGGGAGAAAAGCAAAGCAUGGGCGUCGUCGGCGCCGCUCCAAGCCCCGCCACAGCAAUACCGGCCCCGAAGAGGAAAGCAAUCCGGAUGGUGCCGAAGAGGAAUACAACCCUGACCAGCCCGCCUUCGGGCUGGCCGAACAGGAGGAUGAUUAGGUCAGCUCAGACGAACAGAUGACUGACGGAUACCCGAAGGAGGACAACUAUAUGCCCCCCUUUGAAGACGAGAUUAGCCUCGGCGACGACAAGUUCGGCGUGCCUGAGGAUCCCGUGGAGCAGGAGCGCUUCAAGCGCCGGCUUAUUGCCACUGCGAGGAGCCUAAAUAAGAAGCAGCAACAACUCCAGGCUGAUCAAGACUUGCUCAUAGAUAGAUGGACUGAAGUCCUAGCAGACGAGGAAUAUGGACUCGAGCGCCAAACGGCUGACCGGCCACCCCGUGGCCGAGAUAAAACGAGAUAUCAGCCCGAAUACCAGCCCGUACCCCCACGCCAAUACACUACGGCCCGAAGCAACAGGAAAGACCUGCAAGAUAUUCUGGAAAACAAAGCAGGACAGCCAAGAUCGAUCUACGGAUCGCGGGGGCGCGCCCCAGCGCACGACGAUGACCAUCACGCCGGAUACAUCAUCAACAAGUCCGGCCGGGCCGAACACAGCAACCUAGACCAAUUCGAACUGCGUAGCCACAUAGCUCAGCACAGAGGCGCCGCACACCCCCUCUGCUUCACUGAUGAAGUGAUGGAUCAUGAAUUCCUAGAAGGGUUCAAACCCGUAAACAUCGACUCAUACGAUGGCACAACAGACCCCAUAGUAUGGAUUGAAGAUUUCCUUCUCCACAUUCACAUGGCCCGCGGAGAUGAUAUACACGCCAUCAAGUAUCUUCCCCUUAAGCUCAAAGGACUAGCCCGGCACGGGCUAAACAGCCUGCCAGCAAAUUCCAUUGGCAGUUGGGAAAACCUGGAAGACGCAUUCCUCGACAACUUCCAGGGCACAUAUGUGCAACCACCGGACACUGAUGACCUGAGCCACAUUACUCAACAGCCCGGAGAGUCAGCCAGGAAAUUCUGGAGUCGGUUCCUAACUAAAAAGAACCAAAUAGUUGACUGUCCGGACGCCGAAGCCCUGGCGGCUUUUAAGCAUAAUAUACGUGACGAGUGGCUUGCUCGACACCUCGGCCAGGAAAAACCCAAGUCCAUGGCAGCUCUCACAACACUAAUGACCCGCUUUUGUGUGGGCGAGGACAGCUGGUUGGCUCGCUGCGGCAGCACGCCGCAUUCCGGCACUUCGGAUGUCCACGACAAUAACGACAAGCAACGACGCAACAGACAUAAGCGACGGAACAACGGCGACAACACUGAAGACACGGCAGUAAACGCCAGAUUCAGCGGAUCCAAGUCCGGUCAGCGGAAGAAGCCGUUCAAAAGAAACAAUCAGGGACCGUCCAGUCUAGACCGUAUACUGGAGCGCUUGUGCCAAAUUCAUGGCACCCCGGACAAGCCAGCCAACCACACCAACGGAGACUGCUGGGUAUUCAAACAGGCCGGCAAAAUAAACACCGAAAACAAGGACAAGGGGCUGCACAGCGACGAUGACGAGGAGCCCCGGCGUCCGAACACGNNNNNNNNNNNNNNNNNNNNNNNNNNNNNNNNNNNNNNNNNNNNNNNNNNNNNNNNNNNNNNNNNNNNNNNNNNNNNNNNNNNNNNNNNNNNNNNNNNNNNNNNNNNNNNNNNNNNNNNNNNNNNNNNNNNNNNNNNNNNNNNNNNNNNNNNNNNNNNNNNNNNNNNNNNNNNNNNNNNNNNNNNNNNNNNNNNNNNNNNNNNNNNNNNNNNNNNNNNNNNNNNNNNNNNNNNNNNCAACAUGAUCUACGCCACUCACAUCCCCAAGCGGGAACGGAAGCGGGCACUACGGGACGUCUACGCGAUGGAGCCAGUCGCCCCCAAGUUCAACCCAUGGUCAGCUUGUCCGAUCACCUUUGAUUGUAGGGAUCAUCCUACUAGCAUCCGUCACGGCGGCUCAGCCGCAUUGGUCUUAGACCCAAUCAUCACGGAUUUCACCUCACGCGAGUCCUUAUGGAUGGCGGUAGCAGCCUGAACCUGCUUUAUCAGGACACAAUGCACAAAAUGGGCAUCGACCCCUCAAGGAUCAAGCCCACCAAAACCACCUUUAAAGGUGUAAUUCCUGGAGUAGAGGCCCACUGUACGGGCUCCAUAACAUUGGAAGUGGUCUUCGGAUCUCCGGACAACUUCCGAAGCGAAGAGUUAAUCUUCGACAUCGUCCCUUUCCGUAGUGGUUACCACGCACUGCUCGGACGAACCGCAUUCACUAGAUUCAAUGCGGUACCACAUUAUGCAUACCUCAAGCUCAAGAUGCUAGGCCCGUGCGGGGUCAUAACAGUCAACGGAAACAUGGACCGCUCUCUUCGUACAGAAGAGCAUACUGCAGCCCUCGCGGCAGAAGUACAAUGCGGUCUCCUCCGGCAAACCACCAAUCCGGCGAUGACAACCUCAAGCACCGUCAAGCGAGUCCGGAGCACCCCGCAGCAGGAUCAUCAGGCACGCCAAGAGCGCGAUUAGCAGUCCGGCCUCCACUCAAACCCCAUUAAAGCAGCAUUCGUGCCACGCGUACACAAUUAUGCACUCAAAAUACCAUGGGCACAGGCGGAGGCGCAUCAGUGACUCAGUCAACAGUGCGGUAUCACCGCAACAUACCUUCAUAAUCUUUCCCUUUUACCUUUCAAGACAUUGCUUUAGUGCAGCCUCUUCAGAAGGGCCGGAUCGCUGGACUUACAUGGGAGAGAAAACCAAGGAGGCAAUAGGCUUUGCGCACAGAAGGACACACCCAGGUGGAAUCUAUUUACGAUCAUUAUACCUGUUUUAUCUAUCUUUAUGUGACCUGCCCCUGGAUAGGACAUGUCAAAUGGUCCUAUUUAUCUCUGCUUAAUGGAUCCAUUGUAAACAUACGCUUAAACAUAUUAUUCAUCAAUGAGAGAUCACAUAUAGCGUCAGCUUAUCAGUCUUAUUUGAGAAUUUGUUUCUCACAAAUGUUAAUUAGAUAUUGCAUCCGUACACCUUGGUACGUUCAGUCUGCCAGGGGCUUCCUAUGGCGCCCCAUAAUAUGGCAAUACAAGUCCGAACACUUUCAACACUGCGGCACCCCGAACUUAUAGCACUAUAUGCAUCAGCUCCGAAUCAUGUCUUGGGUCUACAGUUGGGUUAGCCCGGCUCCCUUGUUUUGGUACCUUACGUUCCGUUAUAUCGGCUAAGGUAGCGCAGGGAGAAUUACUGCGAUUGUGUCCCGGUUCUUCCGGACGAGCACCUCAGUUGAGAAAGCCAAAAACUGACCGGCAUGAUGUGGCGAGAGCUGGUCGCUGUUCGAGAGGUCUUAAAAUCCUUAAAGAUUUUUCCGCUUUAGGCGACAAAUCGUCUUCGUCCGACCUAGGCGUAUAUAGCGCCCCAAUUCAGCCUUCCAGAUUCUAGGGGCUUCGCCGAAAUUUAAAAUUGUAGACUUCUAUGGCUAAGUGAAAGUUAUAAAGCCGCAUAGUCUGAUUGCCUUGUUCGCUGCGCCUGACACCUCCUUAAGGGACCAAACAUUUGGAUAAAGAGUGUCCGGGUUUUCCACAAACACCCGAGUACUAGUCACAUGGGGGCGGAAGCCGACGACUGGCCUACCUUCAGAAUUUUAUAAACAUCCGCAUAGAAGGUAAUAUUUUAAACAACAAAAGCGCUACAUAGCGCAAGUAACUUCGUCUUUAAAUUACAAACAUGACAGAAGUGAAUUCAUUCUAAAAUGGUGUCCUUGGUACAUUCAUCGGCCACGAGACGAGCGCCCUUCAUAACGCCAUCAUAAUAUUUCUCCGGAUAGCGAGGCGCCUUGCCCUUCGGCGGCCCGUCCUUCACCAGCUUCUCCGCAUCUAGCUUGCCCCAAUGCACCUUCGCGCCGGCAAAGGUCCGGCGGGCACCUUCAAUGCAAACGGACCGCUUCAUUACUUCGAGCCGCGGACAGGCAUUCACCAUCCGCUUGAUCAGUCCGAAGUAGCUAGCCGGCAGGGGCUCACCAGGCCACAUCCGGACUAUGAAAUCUUUCAUAGCCACUUCGGCCGCCCUGUGGAGUUCGACCAACUGCUUCAGUUGGUCACUCAAAGGCAUUGGAUGUUCGGCUCCAGCAUACUAGGACCAGAACAGCUUCUCUGUUGAGCUCCCCUCCUGGGCACGAUAGAACUCCGCGGCAUCUAAUACGCUGUGUGGUAGAUCUGUGAAUGCCCCUAGAGAGCUCCGAACUUGGGUAAGUAAAAGAAACGCCUCCUCCACAUGUUUGCUUUGCAUAAAGAAUUUCUUACCCACCGCUAUCUUUUUGGCCUCCUGGACCUCCUGCUGUGCCUUCUCGGCUUCGGCCUUGGCGUCUUUUAUACUAGCAAGGGCCUUCGCAAGCUCGGCCUCUUUCGCCUUAAGCUCAUGCUCCACGGACUCAAACUUUUUGCCGAGCUCCUGGAGCUCUUGUUGUACCUCGCCGACUCUGGCAUCUUGCUUCUCGCGCUCUGUGCGUUCCAAGGCCGCCUUGUCUUCGGCCUCGGACAGUGCUUUCCUUAGAGAGGCCACUUCGGUGGUGGCCCCUGUUACAAAAUCACGACGCUUCGUCGUUAGAAUAACCAAUUUUAUAUACCCUUCAUUAUGUGAGAGCGGGGAAUCACUCACCUUUGCUCUCUUCGAGCUGCCUCUUCGUGAGGUCGAGCUCUCCCUGCGCCUGCUCCAGAUCCCGUUUUAGUCCGGCGAUCUCGGCUGCGCGGACAACAGCGGCAAGCAGCACAGCCUGCUUAUUCACAUUCAUAGUUAUUAUUAGACUCCUACAGAUUAUAAGUGACCCUCCAUUUGGUUUUUAUUUCUGAACACCAAACAGAGUAUCAGGGGCUACUACCUAUCGGGUGGCAAUUUCACACAUUUUUAUUACUUACCUCAAAGCCUGUCAGGAGGCUGGUGCAAGCUUCGGUUAGUCCGCUCUUGGCGGACGAAUCCUUCUGAAUCACCACACUCAUAAGAGUACGGUGCUCUUCAUCCAUGGAAGCGCCGCGAAGCGCUUCCAGCAGACAAUCCGGCGCCUCGGGUGCAACAGAAGUCCUUGACGCAGACGGCUCGCCCUCCCUAACGAGGGGCUGCCUGCCUGAGUCCGGAACCAUUGGAGGUUCCGAAACAGUGUUCGGCUGAGAGGCCGGCCUACUGUGGCUCUCAUCGACACGAUCCGCGGGGAUCUUGAACCCCGCGUGUCCGACAUCUGGAAUUCCGCCUUGGGGCAUUUCCAGAGUCACCUCCCCCCGCUCUGGGAGCCUUCGGGACAACACCUCUGUGUCAUCCGCGGGUUGAGGAGUAGUGGCGCGUCGGGAGCGUGUUCAUCUCUGAAUCGCUCAAGGAUCCAUCCGAAGAGGAUACUUCGGGAUGAACCCUGGCCGGACUGCAUAUAUGUUCGGCGUUAUAAAAAGACUGUGAAGUAAAGUCAUAAAAGAGUGCGGAUACUUACGAUCGUGCUAGGGGCUUCCCCCUGGGCAGCCACCCCUCGUCGCUAUGGGCGGCCGUGGCGGAGUAGUCCGGAAGGGACACCUUUCCCUUCUUGGACGACCCAGCUCCCCCCUCCGGGGCAGCUUUCCUCCUUUUCUCUACCCCAGUGCGGGGAGGUAGAGUUUCUUCCUGCUUCCCCCCGCCUCCGCGGGAGGAACCUAUCUCGUCGUCAUCAGACGACAUGGGUAUGACGGCCUUGUGCCGAGGGCCUUUCCCGGCCCCCUGGUCCGCCUUCUCGGGCCCCUCACCCUCUCCGGGUGGGGUGGUCCCUUCUUAUUCUUCCUCCCCUUGGGGGAGAGUGUGCCUCGUCGUCUUCGGACGAGGCUUCCGGCGCAACCUUACGCCGCAGAACCCUUCGGAUCCCCGGGGCCUUCUUUUCAGCCUUCUUCUCCGGCACCUUGUUAGGCGCCGGGACCAGCAUCUCCGUCACAAGAGCAUCAGUUGGGCCUUCUGGCAGCAGGGCCGGACAGUCAAUCUGCUCCGCUGUCUCCACAUAAUCCUGAACAAAUAUGCAUAAUUACUUAAAACUCCCCCAUGAAUAUAUUGGGAAGAACUGAAUCCGGUGGUAGCCUAAAAACUCACCUGACUAGGAGGCCGCGCGGCGUGGAGCCCACGGUCCUCGGAUGUGGGAGGAGGUACUUUGGAGGCCUUGAACAAUGCCUUACAUGCGUCUUUGUGCUUCAUGCCGUAGAGCCUCUGAAGCGUCUGGUGUUCGGCCGGGACGAACUCCCACAGAUUGAAUGCCCGCCUUUGGCACGGCAGAAUUCGGCGAACGAGCAUGACCUGGAUCAUGUUGACAAGCUUGCUGUUCUUGUCCUUCAUGCUCUUGAUGCAGGUUUGGAGUCCUGUCAGCUCUGUAGAUUCGCCCCAGGACAGGCCCUUCUUUUCCUAGGAGGUGAGCCGCAUGGGGGUUUCGGAUCGGAACUCGAGGGCCGCCGCCCAGUUGGCAUCGCGCGGCUCGGUGAUGUAGGACCACCCCGACUGCCACCCCUUCGCGGUUUCCGCAAAGGAGCCGUCAAGCCAGGUGACGUUAGGCAUCUUGCCCACCAUGGCCCCGCCGCACUCCGCCUACUGGCUGCUCACAAUCUUCGGCUUCACGCAGAAGAUUUGCAGCGACAAGCCAAAAUGAGGCCUGAUGCGGAGGAAGGCCUCACAUACGACGAUGAACGCCGAGAUGUUGAGGAUGAAGUUCGGGGCUAGAUCAUGGAAAUCUAGCCCGUAGUAGAACAUGAGCCCGCGGACGAAGGGGUGAAGUGGAAACCCUAGUCCACGGACGAAGUGGGCGAGAAACAUGACUCUCUCGUGGGUUCCUGGGGUUGGAAUGACCUACCCGUCGUUCGGUAGCCGGUGUGCUAUGUCUGCGACCAAGUAUCCGGCCGCCCGAAGAUUUGCGAUAUCCUUCUCCUUCACGGUGGAAGCCACCCACUUGCCUCCUGCUCUGGACAUAUUUAGCUGUGCGGAGAAGACUUGGGCUAGGGCGCUGGAGCUCGAGGGGGCAAGAGUGGGCAAAGGAGGAAGAAGGCGUGGGUAAAAAUGGGGAACUCUUAUCCCUUUAUAGAGGCAACGGAAGCGGUGCGCCUCCCCACUUGCCCAUUGGGAAUCGCUCACCUCCCAAGCGCCACGAUUGAUGGCAUGGUGGGAUUACCCAUACCCGUAUUGAUGAGAAUCCCGUGAUAAGGGGGCACGAUCUCUGCUUUGACAAGAUGUGUCAAGGAAACCGCCUCGCAAUAUGCGUUGUGGCUGGUUGUAGGGAAACAGUUCAAAUAAUAACCCGACCUUAAUGACAUGUCAUGCUGUCUAAAAAGUUGUCAGCAAAUUGCAUUUGUGAAAUAUCGUUCUCUCUCUAUAGCGGUAUGCGAAGAUCAUUUUGUGGAUCCGGACACGGUCUACAUGUUCGAUAAUUACUUUGGAGUAUUCGGAGAAGGAACCCGCCUUGCAAUGUCGAAGACAAGACUGCGUGCCAGACUCAUCAUCAUUGAAGCCUGGUUCAGGGGCUACUGAGGCAGUCCUGGAUUAGGGGGUAUCCGGACAACCAGACUGUAUACAUCGUCUGGACUAUUGAAGCGUGAAGAUACAGGACUCGAGACUUCGGCCCGUGUCCAGAUGGGACUCUCCUUUGCGUGGAAGGCAAGCUUGGCGAUCCGGAUAUUGUGUUUCCUUCCUUGUAACCGACUCCAUGUAAACCCUAGCCCUCUCCAGUGUCUAUAUAAACCAGAGAGGUUGGUCCUUAGAAGACCGAUCACAAUUAUAAUCAUACCAUCAUAGGCUAGCUCUUAGGGUUUAGCCUCUAUGAUCUCGUGGUAGAUCUACUCUUGUACAACUCAUAUCUUCAAUAUUAAUCAAGUAUGAAGUAGGGUUUUACCUCCAUCGAGAGGGCCCGAACCUGGGUAAACAUUGUGUCCCUCGCUUCCUAUUACCAUCAGCCUAAGACGCACAGAUCAGGACCCCCUACCCGAGAUCCACCAGUUUUGACACCGACAAUCGCUCCCGAAGGUUUGAUUCCGUUUGGACUCUGUUUGAUAUUCCUUUCCUUCGAAACACUGAAAUUGGCAAAAAAAAUACAGCAAUUCGGGCUGGGCCUCCGGUUAGUAGGUUAGUACUAAAAAUGAUAUAAAAGUGUAGAGUAAAGCCCAUAAACAUCCAAAACGGGUAAUAUAAUAGCAUGGACCAAUCAAAAAUUAUAGAUAUGUUGGAGACGUAUCAAGCAUCCCCAAGCUUAAUUCCUGCUCGUCCUCGAGUAGGUAAAUGAUAAAAUGUGGAAUGCUACCUAGCAUAAUUCUCAAUGUAAUUUUCUUUAUUGUGGCAUGAUUGUUCAGAUCCAAAUGAUUCAAGAUAAAAUCUUAUAAAACGUAAAAAUAGUAAUACUUGAAGCAUACUAACAAAUAAUCAUGUCUUAUCAAAAUAGCAUAGCCAACGAAAGCUUAUCACUACAAAAUCAUAUAGUUAGGCCAUGCUUCAUUUUCAUCACACAAAAUACUCCCGUCAUGCACAACCCCGGUUUCAGCCAAGCAAUUGGUUCAUACUUUUUAACGAGCUUCAGCUUUUUCAACUCUUACGCAAUACAUGAGCGCAAGCCAUGGACAUAACACUAUAUGUGGUAUAUGGUGGUGGUUGUGAAGACAAAAAGGGAGAAGAUAGUCUCACAUCAACUAGGCAUAUCAACGGGCUAUCGAGAUGCCCAUUAAUAGAUAUCAAUGUGAGUGAGUAGGGAUUGCCAUGCAACGGAUGCACUAGAGCUAUAAAUGUAUGAAAGCUCAACAAAAGAAACUAAGUGGGUGUGCAUCCAACUUGCUUGCUCAUGAAUACCUAGGGCAUUUUGAGGAAGCCCAUCAUUGGAAUAUACAAGCCAAGUUCUACAAUAAAAAAUUCCCACUAGUAUAUGAAAGUGACAAUAUAGGAGACUCUCUAUCAUGAAGAUCAUGGUGCUAUUUUGAAGCACAAGUGUGGAAAAGAGAUAGUAGCAUUGUCCCUUCUCUCUUUUCUCUCAUUUUUAUUAUUUGGUGGGCCUCUUUGGCCUCUUUUUUUAUAUGGGCUUCUGUGGCCUCUUUUAUUUUUAUAAAGUCUGAAGUCUCAUCCCGACUAGUGGGGGAAUCAUAGUCUUCAUCAUCCUUUCCUCACUUGGGACAAUGCUCUAAGAAUGAAGAUCAUCACACUUUCAUUGAUUUACAACUCAAGAAUUACAACUCAAUACUUGGAACAAAAUAUGACUCUAUGUGAAUGCCUCCGGCGGUGUACCGGGAUAUGCAAUGAAUCAAGAGUGACAUGUAUGAAAAAUUAUGAACGUGGCCUUGCCACAAAUACGAUGUCAACUAUGUGAUUAUGCAAAGAGCAAUAUGACAAUGAUGGAGCAUGUCAUAAUAAAUGGAAUGGUGGAAAGUUGCAUGGCAAUAUAUCUCAGAAUGAAUAUGGAAAUGCCAUAAUAGGUAGGUAUGGUGGCUGUUUUGAGGAAGGUAAAUAAUGGGUGCAUGAUACCGGCGAAGGUUGUGCAGCAUAAUAAAGGCUAGCAAAGUGGAAGGGUGAGUGUGCGUAUAUCCAUGGACUCACAUUAGUCAUAAAGAACUCAUAUACUUAUUGCAAAAGUCUACUUGCCCUCGAAGCAAAGUACUACUACGCAUGCUCCUAGAGGAAGGGUUGGUAGGAGUUAACCAUUGUGCGAUCCCGACCUCCACUCAUAAGGAAGACAACAAUUAAAAGAGCACCCCAUGCAACAAAUUUGUGACAUAACUUUUACCAUAUGUGCAUGCUACGGGACUUGCCAACUUCAACACAAGUAUUUCACAAUUUCAUAAUUACCUAACUAGCAUGACUCUAACAUUACCACCUUUAUAUCUCAAAACAAUUAUCAAGCAUCAAAUUGAUCAUAGUGUUUAAUGCACUUUCUAUGAUAGUUUUUAUUAUACCCAACUUGGAUGCUCAUCAUUCUAGGACCAAAUUUAUAACCAUAGCAAAUACCAUGCUGUUCUAAAAUACUCUCGAAAUGAUAUAAGUGACGCAUGAGAGAGCAACAAUUUCUUCAAAAUAAAGCCACCUUCGUGCUCUAGAAAAUGUAAGUGAAGCACAUAGAGCAAAACUAUCUAGCUCAAAAGAUAUAAGUGAAGCAUAUAGAGUAUUCUAAUAAAUUCUUAAUCAUGUGGGUUUAUCCCAAAAGGUGUGUACAGCAAGGAUGAUUGUGGAAAUCUAAAAAGCAAAGACUCAUAUCAUACAUGAUGCUCCAAGCAAAACACAUAUCAUGUGGUGAAUAAAAAUAUAGCUCCAAGUAAAGUUACCGAUAGACGAAGACGAAAGAGGGGAUGCCUUCCGAGGCAUCCCCAAGCUUAGGCUUUUGGUUAUCCUUGAAUAUCUUGGGGUUCCAUGGGCAUCCCCAAGCUUAGGCUCUUGCCACUCCUUAUUCCAUAGUCCAUCAAAUCUUUACCCAAAACAUGAAUACUUCACAACACAAAACUCAACAGGAAAUCUCAUAAGCUCCGUUAGUGCAAGAAAGAAAAACCACCACAUAAGGUACUGUAAUGAACUCAUUCUUUAUUUAUAUUGGUGUUAAACCUACUGUAUUCCAACUUCUCUAUGGUUCAUACCCCCCCCACCCGAUACUAGCCAUAGAUGCAUCAAAAUAAGCAAACAACACACACUAAACAGAAUCUGUCAAAAACAGAACAGUGUGUCGCAAUCUGUAACUUUCGAAUACUUCUGGAACUCUAAAGCUCCUACCAAAAUAGGAAGUCCUGGGCAAUUUUUCUAUUGAUCUACAGCAAAAAGAAUCAACGCGCACGUUUCUGUGAAUUACUAAAAUUAUUUUCGUGCGCGCAAAGUUUCUGUUUUUCAGCAGAAUCAAAUUAACUAUCACCGUAGGUUAUCCUAUAGGUUCUACUUGGCACAAACACUAAUUAAAACAUAAAACACAUCUAAAUAGAAGCUAGAUGAAAUAUUUAUUACUAAACAGAAGCAAAAAGCAAAAAAAUAAUCAAAUUGGGUGUCCUCCCAACUAGCGCUAUUGUUUAACGCCCCUAGCUAGGCAUAAAAGCGAGAAUAGAUCUACGUAUUGCCAUCUUUGGUAUUCAAUUCAUAAGUAGCUCGCAUGAUAGAUUUAUAAGGCAAUUUAACUUCCUUUCUUGGAAAGUGUUCCAUGCCUUUCCUUAAUGUAAAUUGGAAUCUAAUAUUCCCUUCCUUCAUAUCAAUAAUUGCACCAAUCGUUCUAAGGAAAGGUCUACCAAGAAUAAUAUGACAUGAAAGAUUGCAAUCUAUAUCGAGAAUGAUAAAAUCUACAGGCACAUAAUUCCUAUUUGUAAUAAUAAGAACAUCAUUUAUCCUUCCCAUAGGUUUCUUAAUGGUAGAAUCCGCAAGGUGCAAGUUUAAAGAGCAAUCAUCAAAUUCAUGGAAAGCUAGCACAUCACAUAAAGUUUUCGGAAUCGUGGAAACACUAGCACCCAAAUCACACAAAGCAUAGCACUCAUGAUCUUUAAUUUUAAUCUUUAUAGUAGGUUCCCACUCAUCAUAAAGUUUCUAAGUAUAGAAAUUUCCAAAUUAAGUUUUUUCUCAUAAGAUUGCAUCAAGGCAUCAACAAUAUGUUUGGUAAAAGCUUUAUUUUGACUAUAAGCAUGAGGAGAAUUUAACACGGAUUGCAACAAGGAAAUACAAUCUAUUAAAAAACAAAUAUCAUAAUUAAAUUCCUUGAAAUCCAUAAUAGCCGGUUCAAUGCUAUUUAAAGUCUUGACCUGUCCAAUCCCACUUUUACCAAAUUUAGCAUCAAGAUCUAAAAACUCCGAAUUAUUGGGACGCCUUUUAACUAAAGUUGACUAAUCUCCAGUCCCAUCAUUAUCAAGAUUCAUAUUGCAAAACAAGGAUUCAAUAGGGGAUACAUCAAUAACUUUUAGAUCUUCAUCAUUAUUUUCUCCUAACCCUUCUGGUUUGGUAGCCAUCUUAUAGACCAAGGUGGCUUGCUUAUCAGAAAUUUGGGCUAUUGAUUUUUCAAGACGAGCAAUCUGAGAGUUCAAACAAUAAAAUUCUAUAGACAUAUCAUCAAGCUCUUUGUUCAUAUACUCCAUAAAGCUUUUUUGUUCUUUAAGUUCUUUUCUAAAGAAACUAUUAUCCUCAAAUUGUAAAGUCAUAAAACUUCUAAUGUUCAAUUCAAUCUCUUCCAACCUUCUAAGAUGAAGGUCGGUGUUCUUAGGCAAAGCCCUAAGGGCAAACAGGCACACAAGAAGACAAGCGAAAGAGAGGAGAACGGAAAAGAGAGGGCGAAUACAACGGCAUGGGUGAAGUGGGGGAGAGGAAAACGAGAGGCAAAUGGCAAAUAAUGUAAUGCAAGGGAGAUGAGUUUGUGAUGGGUACUUGGUAUGUCUUGACUUGAGCGAAGACCUCCCCGGCAACGGCGCUAGAAAUCCUUCUUGCUAUGUCUUGAGCUUGCAUUGGUUUUUCCCUUGAAGAGGAAAGGGUGAUGCAGCAAAGUAGCGUAAGUAUUUCCCUCAGGUUUUCAGAACCAAGGUAUCAAUCCAGUAGGAGGCUCCUCAAAAGUCCCACGCACCUACACAAACAAACAAGAACCUCGCAACCAACGCGAUAAAGGGGUUGUCAAUCCCUUCACGAUAACUUGCAAAAGUGAGAUCUGAUAGAGAUCAUGUGAUAAGAUAAAUAUUUUUGUUAUUUUUAUGAUAUAGAUUGGAAAAUAAAAGAUGCAAAUAAAAGUAGAUGGAAAACUUAUAUGAUAAAAGAUAGACCCGGGGGCCAUAGGUUUGACUAGUGGCUUCUCUCAAGAUAGCAUAAGUAUUACGAUGGGUGAACAAAUUACUGUCGAGCAAUUGAUAGAAAAGCGCAUAGAUAUGAGAUUAUCUAGGCAUGAUCAUGCAUAUAGGCAUCACGUCCGUGACAAGUAGAUCGAAACGAUUCUGCAUCUACUACUAUUACUCCACACAUCGGUCGACUCCUGCCUGCAUCUAGAGUAUUAAGUUCAUGAAGAAUAGAGUAACGCAUUAAGAAAGAUGACAUGAUGUAGAGGGAUAAACUCAUGCAGUAUGAUAUAAACCCCAUCUUUUUAUCCUCGAUGGCAACAAUACAAUACAUGCCUUGCUUCCCCUGCUGUCACUGGGAAAGGACCCCGCAAGAUUGAACCCAAAGCUAAGCACUUCUCCCAUUGCAAGAAAGAUCAAUAUAGUAGGCCAAACCAAACUGAUAAUUCGAAGAGACUUGCAAAGAGAACUUAAUCACACAUAAAAGAAUUCAGAGGAGAUUCAAAUAUUUCUCAUAGAUGAACUCGACCAUAAACCCACAAUUCAUCGGAUCUCGACAAACACAUCGCAAAAAGAGUUACAUCAAAUAGAUCUCCAAGAAGAUCAAGGAGAACUUUGUAUUGAGAUUCAAAGAGAGAGAAGAAGCCAUCUAGCUAAUAACUAUGGACCCGAAGGUCUGUGGUAAACUACUCACAACUCAUCGGAGAGGCCUUGGAGAUGAUGUAGAGGCCCUCCAUAGUCGAUUCCCCCUCCGGUGGAGCACCGACUAAGGCUCCAAGAUGGGAUCUCGCGGAUACAGAAGGUUGCAGCGGUGGAAAUAGUUUUUCGUGGUGGUCCUAGAUGUUUUCGGGGUAUGUGGGUAUAUGUAGGAGGAAGAAGUACGUCGGUGGAGCAAUGAGGGGCCCACGAGGGUGGGGGGCGCGCCCACCCCUAGGGGGUGCGCCGGGCACCCUCGUGGCCGCCUCGUUCGUUGCUUGACGUCCACUGCUAGUCCCCUUGAUUGCGUUUGUUCCAAAAAGAUCGCUCCCGAAGGUUUCAUCCCGUUCGGACUCCAUUUGAUAUUCCUUUCCUUCGAAACACUGAAAUAGGCAAAAAAAACAAUAAUUCGGGCUGGGCCUCCGGUUCGUAGGUUAGUCCCAAAAAUGAUAUAGAAGUGUAGAGUAAAGCCCAUAAACAUCCAAAACGGGUAAUAUAAUAGCUUGGAACAAUAAAAAAUUAUAGAUACGUUGGAGAUGUAUCAGCUAGUGAGACCGAGCCAUCGACCGUGUCAUAUGCUAGUCUAGUCCGACGUGUGCCCACACGUCACUUGCGACUAGGGACAAUUUAUAUCAUACAACACAAGAUCUCACAGACAAGUCACGUACUUGCCAACAAGUAUCAUUGAUUACAUCCAUGGACUACCUUUAUUCAUAAACACAUAGGAAAUAUCAUCAUUCAUGACUGCCUCUAGGGCAUAUCUCCAACGGUCUCCCACUUGCACUAGAGUCAAUCAAAUAGACAUCGAAUGCCCAUAGCUCUAACGUGCCCCGCAUGCUUGGGUUGUGGAAGCGGCUAAGUCAACGGAUCUGCAACAUUUGCAUCCGUGUGAAUUUUGCAUAACUCAACAUCACCAUUCUUUACGAUCUUUUGUACCAGGUGAUAUUUCCGAUCUAUGUGUCUGACCUUGUGGUGAUUCCUCGGCUCCUUGGCUUGUGCGAUGGCACCAAAAUUAUCACAAUAAAGGUCCACCGGUUUUACCAAGGCUGGGAAAAUACCAAGAUCAUCCAGAAAAUGCCGGAUCCAAACACCUUCCUUUGCAGCUUCACAAGCCGCAAUGUAUUCGGCUUCUGUGGUAGAGUCGGCCACCAUAUCUUGCUUGGAACUCAUCCAGCUCACUGCCCCUCCGUUCAUGACGUACACGAAUCCAGACUGUGAUCGACAAUCAUCUCUAUCGGUUUGGAAACUAGCAUCCGCGUAACCCCUUACGACGAGCUCUUCCUCACCUCCAUAAACUAGGAACAUCUAUUUAGUCCUUUUCAAGUACUUCAAAAUAGUCUUUACCACUGCUCAGUGACUCUCACAUGGGUUGGCCUGGUAUCUACUUGUUAGGCUUAUUGCAAAAGCAACAUCAGGCCGUGUACAUAUCAUGGCAUACAUGAUGGAUCCAAUUGCCGAGGCAUACAGAAUCCUACUCAUCCUACUUCGCUCAUCAAAUGUCGAAGGACUGAGUCUCGCUUAGCCUUAUACCAUGUGAGUGUGGCAAGAACCCUUUCUUCACCUCACUCAUGUUGAACUGCUUCAACACUUUAUCUAUGUACGUGCUCUGGCUUAAGCCGAGCAGCCUCCUUGAUCUAUCUCUAUAGAUCUUAAUGCCUAAAAUAUACACUGCCUCACCAAGGUCUUUCAUCGAAAACUUGCCAUUCAAUGAUCCCUUGACCGAGUUCAACAUCGAAACAUCAUUUCCGAUCAGUAGUAUGUCAUCCACAUACAAGAUCAAAAACACUAUCGAGCUUCCACUUAACUUCUUGUAUAAACAAGCGUCCUCUUUGCUUUUGAUGAAACCGAGACCAGUGAUGACCUCAUCAAAAUGAAUAUUCCAGCUCCGAGAUGCUUGCCUCAACCCAUAAAUGGAUCUCUUGAGCUUGCAUACCUUACUAGUGCUAGUCAGAUCGACAAAACCCUCGGUCUGUAUCAUAUACACGUCCUCGGUUAAAUUUCCAUGAAGGAAAGCCGUUUUGACAUCCAUCUGCCAUAUCUCAUAAUCAAAAUAUGCAGCUAUAGCUAGUACGAUCCUCACCGACUUUAGCAUCGCUACCGGCGAGUAAGUCUCAUCAUAGUCAAUUCCUUGAACUUGUCCAUAACCCUUAGCGACAAGCCGAGCUUUGUGCAUCUGAACAUUUCCAUCCACAUUGGUUUUCUUCUUAAAGACCCAUUUGCAACCAAUGGCCAUUACGGCAGGCGGCGGAUCAACCAAGUCCCAGACUUGAUUCUCAUCCAUGGACCUUAACUCGGAUCUCAUGGCCUCCAGCCAUGCCUCGGAAUCUGGGCUCACCAUUGCUUCUGCAUAUGUGGCCAGCUCAUCGCUUUCUAGCAAGAAUACAUCACGGACUCUACGCAAUCUUUCCGGCCUCCGUGGUUCCGGUGCCGCUUCCACUACGGGUUCCCUGACUGACUCCGGUAUGAUCUCAUCACCAGCCGAGCCGUCCCCGAGUGGUCCUCGAAUUUCUUUGAGUCAGACCGUCCUCCCACUGGCCUCCCGACUGAGAAACUCUUUCUCAUGGAAAACCCGUUCCGAGCAACAAACACUUUGUUCUCUUCAUGGUUGUAGAAGCUAUAUCCCAAGGUUUCCCUCGGAUAUCCCACGAAUAUGCAUUUAUCCGACUUAGGUGUAAGAUUGUCUGACAUAAGUCGCUUGACAAAUGCUUCACAACCCCAAAUCUUUAAAAAAGACAAACUGGGACUCUUCCCUGUCCACAUCUCAUGUGGUGUCUUGUCUAUGGAUUUUGAUGGUACCCUGUUAAGUGUGUAAGCUGCAGUUUCUAGAGCGUAUCCCUAGAAUGACAAGGGUAAAUCCGAUUUGCUCAUCAUUGACCGGACCAUGUCCAACAAGGUCCUAUUCCUCCAUUCUGACACGCCGUUUCUCUGUGGCGUACCCGGAGGUGUGAGCUGAGGUACUAUAACUCGGCUUUUCAGAUGACCAUCAAACUCCUGGCUCAUGUACUCACCUCCAUGAUCUGAUCGUAGAAGCUUUAUUGUCUUGCCGAGCUGAUUCUCAACCUCGUUCUAAAACUCUUUGAACUUUUCAAAAGUUUCCAACUUGUGCCUCAUAAAAUAGAUAUAUCCAUAUCUACUCAAGACGUCGGUAAAAGUCACGAAGUACUGAUAGCCACCUCUGGCAGUUGUGCUCUUUGGACCACACACAUCACUAUGUAUAAGUUCCAAUAGCUCGGACGCCCUCUCGCAACUCUUUGCGAAACGAGACUUAGUCAUCUUGCCGAGCAAGCAUGAUUCGCAUGUCUCGAACGACUCAAAGUCGGACGAAGUUAGGAGCCCAUCAUCAUGGAGCUUCUUCAUGCAUUUCAGACUAAUGUGUCCAAGCCGGCAAUGCCACAAGUAUGUAGGAUUUAUCUCAUUAGGCUUAUGCCUCUUGAAAUUCAUGUUAUAGACUGGUUCCUGUUCUAUAUUCAAUAUAAAUAGCCCAUCAACAAUGGGUGCAUAGCCGUGGAACAUACCAUUCAAAAAUAUCGAACAACCAUUGUCCUUUAAAUUGAAUUCAUAACCUUGACUCAUCAAACAUGAGGCAGAAAUAAUGUUCUGACUAAGUGCAGGAAUGUAAUAACAAUUAUUCAAUUCCAUAAUGAAUCCGGAAGGAAGCUGGAGCUGCAUCGUGCCGACCUCCAACGCAACAACUCUUGCUUUGUUGUUGACCCUGAUGUCAAUCUCCCCUUGUGCCACAUGCCUAGUUCUUACCAGCCCCUGCAUCGAGUUGCAAAUAUGAACUACUGAUCCGAUAUCAAAUACCCAAGAGCUACUAGGUAUGUCAGCAAGGUCAAUGUCUAUAACAUAUGGAACAAGUGUACCUUUGCUCGAAGAAGCAUUUCCGGCCUUCUUGCCAUGCUCUGCAAGCCACUUGCUACAGUUCCUCUUCAAGUGACCGGUCUCCUUACAGUGAUAGAAAAAGGUCUUCGAGUCUGGUCCAUACUUCGGUGCAGCGGCGGAGGUUACCGUCUCCGUGCCCUUUGCCUUAUCCUUUUUCUUGGACCAACUCUUCUUGAACUUAGCUGAUUUAUGCACCAUCAACACUUGAUGCGUGCCUUUCUUAAUAUCCUGCUCCGCCACUUUGAGCAUCCCAUGCAAUUCAGUGAGCUUCUUAUCCAUGCCAUGCAUAUGAUAGUUCAAGAUGAACGUCCCAUAGCUGGGUGGAAGAGAACCCAAAACUGCAUCAGUAGCCAGCUCAUCCAAGAGCGAGAAGCCCAACCGAUCCAAAGCUUGCACAUAUCCGAUCAUCUUGAUCACAUGUGGGCUCAGUGGAUCACCUUCCUUCAGCUUGCAAUCCAUCAAGGAUCGCCAGACGUUGAACCUUUCGGUCCUAGCCUGUGUCUGAAACAUGCUCUUGAGACUCUCGAUCAUAUCGUAAUCCUCAACAUUUUCGAAAUGCUAUUGCAAAUCGGGCUCCAUACAAGCCAGCAUCAGACAACUGAUCUCUGUUGAUUCAUCAACGAGUUUCUGGUAGGCAUUCUUAGUUGUGGCAUUAGCAUUAUUGGCAGGUUCCUCUGGAAGUGGAUCCUCUAGAACAUGUUCCUUUUUAUCAUGCCUGAGAACAAUUCUCAGAUUUCUAUACCAGGUGGUAAAGUUUGUUCCAUUCAGUUUAUCCUUUUCCAGAAUCAAUGCAAAGUUGGGUUGAGCAGGUGGUGCCAUUGAUCUACAACAGAAAAUAUGCAAUCACUAAGCAAUGUGUUUAUGUAGAGUAAUUCAAGCCUAAACAGAAAUACUCCCACUGAAGUCAGCAUCCCUCCGCAAACUCUUAGAGAUUCAGGAUCCGACUAGCGCAUGCGACUAGUCAGCUUUAGCAUCACUGCUAGCCAACAUACCUAUCCGGUAAGCAACUCCUUGCUAAUCGUAUCUCUAUACGACUCCUGUCGGUUGGGAAGGUAUCUCAUAUCCCAGCUCCCAACCUUCUUUGCCACAAGGCCCAAAACCAUUUUGAUAGCCUUGUCAAGCUAACCUGACGCAGUGCAUGUCCGUGUCCCACACGAACCCUUCAGUUCAAGGACACCUAGCAGCACCCCAAUUUUAUGAGCCCACUACUAGACGUACUUGACGUGCGAAGGUGCAACAUCGGGAAUGUCAAUUUACUUGAUAUUCAUGAGGGAUCUUUCUACCAUUCUAAAAUGCAUAGAAACAAAGAAGCAUAACAAUCACAAAUAAACACAUAUUGUGAAAUAGUAUGGCUCCUUCAUGGACGUCUUCCAGGUUGGCUCUGACUCCGAUGACCAUCUAGCAACUCCAUCUUGUUUGUCACACCGGGACGCCAAGCCACCAACCUGAACUCUAUUAUCCAACUACUACAACUAGUAAUGAAUUUUACAUAGAGUCACAAGUCGACACGCAGGUCGUUAUACAAUAUAAUGACGGCACUUUGGCUCCUGCCAGCUGACAAACAUGACAUGCAUGCCAUGUAUAAAUUACACACAUGCAUCACAUACACAUGAGCCAUACUAUUCACAUCGAACCUGCAAAACAAAGUUAUGCAUAGAAUCGCAUUCUACCGGUUUGUGUGUCGGGUACGAAAUACACGGCGCUACGCACACGGCGCUCCCGCUAGCUGCUUAGCAGGCGGGGUUCGAAGGGGCGGCGCCCCUCACGAGUGCGAGCAACGCCCGGCGUUUUUGGAAAUCACAGAUCACAUCUGAACUCCGAUCACGCCGAAUUUUCUGAUCUGACCGAUCUUAUCGAUCAUCGCGAGUCUGAUUCGGGUUUACAUUUCACUGUUAACCCCGAUGGCAGAUACCGACCGGUAGGGGUAGGUUGUGUCACGACCUCAUCGACUCUGAUCAUCAGAAAACAUAGCCUCUUCAAUCCCCAUGUCCAAUUGAUCACAUCAACUAUGCACAUAGCCGAUCUCAUCAAGGACAACAGAUCUCAUCUACUGCCUCCAUAUAUCUAAUAUGCAUACAAUCUGAAUCGAAAUCCUAUAGCAGAGGCUCUGAUACCAUCGUUGGGAUCUAUGGUAGGAAGCGUCGACUGCAAAUUAAAAUUUUCCUACGCGCAGAACAACAGGAACAUGCUACGGGAGAUGGAUCACAGAUUGUUACCACUAGACGCGUAGUGCCGUGCAGCGGAAGUAGAGUUGAGGCAACCGUCCGCGUGGAUCGUCUCCUCCUCAUCCGAUCUCCCUCGAACAACCGGUUGUCCGAUCCCACGUACAAGUUCGCUAGAGCGGCGCAAGUGCGCCGCCUCUAAUGGUAUCCGCGCAUGCAGGAGGAACUCCGUGUGGCGGACUGCUAGGUCCAAUCACACAGUCGGCGACGAGUGGAGGUGGCUAUUCGCAACAUAUGCAAACCCUAGUGACAGCGCCGAAGCGAUCAAUCGAAUGAGUGCGCUGCACCUCCACCUUAUAUAGGCAUCCGUCGCGGGCUCAACACUUGGGCCUUGCACGGACCCUAAAGCCCUAAGUCUACUCGGUCGCGUUCCAAGUCCAGCUCGGAUCACAUCGGACCAGUGUCCUCCGAACCGACCUCGUACGUUCCUUCCCUUAAGCGCGCGAACCCUUAGGUUCAAGUCGGCUUGGUCGCAGUUCGGAUCACCUCCGACCUGCACGGUUGGUAGCGGCCUCUAGCAAGGCGUGCCGACCACCAAGUAGACUAUAAAGCUGGUUAGGAGAACCUGUACAACGUGUCACACUUCUAUUCCCUUUGCCUCACGAUAUAUGUUGUCGGGCUCAAGGCGAGACUGUCAUCUUUGUGCUAGCCCGACCUCUUUCUUGUUUCCAGUGAUGCCAACCACAAUCCGGAUUAUCUCAUAAUCCUUGUCGCAUGGCCAUGCUUCUCUUGGUUGGUUCACACGAGGGGCCCAGAGUAUAUCUCUCCUGAUCGGAGGGGCAAAUCCCAUCUUGCUCGACCACAUCUUGCAGCAUGGGUCUGGACAAGCCCGAAACCUACCUUUGUAACCACCCAGUCAUGGAGUAGCGUUUGGUCGGCCCAAAGCAAGUCUGUCACCAUCCCGAGUACAUGCGUCAGCUCAGGUCUUAGGACAUUGAACGUAUGUUGUACUAGAGACUCACAGAUGACAUAUCGCUACGUCUCAUAGUUGGGUCUAUCCGACUCAGAUCUUAUCUCGACUCGGAUUCGACUACGUCAAAUCCGACCAAAUCCUUCCGAGUCCAUAUUAUUCGGUUAGCAUCCAAUGCUCCAUGGCUAGUGAGACCGAGCCAUCGACCGUGUCAUAUGCUAGUCUAGUCCGACGUGUGCCCACACGUCACUUGCGACUAGGGACAAUUUAGGAUGUAUCAUACAACACAAGAUCUCACAGACAAGUCACAUACUUGCCAACAAGUAUCAUUGAUUACAUCCAAGGACUACCUGUAUUCAUUAACACAUAGGAAAUAUCAUCAUACAUGAUUGCCUCUAGGGCAUAUCUCCAACACUUGUAAGCAGAUGGCAACUCUCUCUUUACCCGAACAUGUUGUUUUGUCAUGUCUUUUUGUAGCGCUACAUGGCAACUGUCUAGUGUUAGUAGGUGGCUAUGCCUAAGGUUUUCAAAUCAUGGCAACUGUUGUAAACCAGACCAUACAUGGCAAUUGCUUAGUGUAAGUAGGUGGCAACCUCUAAAGUUUUCAAAUCAUGGCAACUAUAGUAAACCAUACCAUACAUGGAAACAGCUGCAGUUGUCCAAAAUGGCAUCUCGCACUUGACCUGAGAUGGCAACUGCAGUUGAGCAACCAUGGCAACUGUAGUUGCCCGACAUGGCAACUGUAGUUCAGCGACAUGGCAACUGCAGUUAAACGGACAUUGAAGAGGGUCCGGACCAUGGCAACUGCGGGGAUGCGUGCUGACUGUCACGCAGGGACGCGCGGGACCGUGUGGGGCCGUGAGGUAGGUGGCUGAGAGAGGUCGUGUGGCAGUUAUCCAUUUUGCCCACACGUAGGCGUGUAAGAGGGACUGCAAGGGAAAAAAGAGGCGUGUGGGCGCUAGUUGUUUUGCCCACACGUAGACGUGUGGGCUGGUCCUUUUAGAUACCACAUAAAAUGUGUGGCCAGACCUCUUAAGGCCCACACGUGUGACAGUUAUCGUUGUCCCUUUUCUUUAGCUGGGAUGCUAUUUUUUUAGGGUAUUACUUUUGAUAUGGUCAGCUACGUCUAUACUGAAUAUGACUUGCUUUUCGGAGUUGGACUACUUUUGCAGUGAAAUUCCUACCGUAUGGUUUGUUAUUUUUGCAGUGCCCUCACCCAUAUAUUUCGGCCACAUUUUUUGGGUUGUUAUUUUUGCAUGCCUAUUGCAUUGCUUACAAUGUUACACACAUGACAAUAGAGCGAUCCUAAAAAGGAAAAAAGAAAUAUGACAAUAGAGCAUCAACUCAACACUACUGUUUGGUUUGUUAUAAACUUAUGCCUGUUCAACACAAGGCUCCAUAACCAUACGAAAAUAAAUAAGUAAUUAUACUACUCCCUCUGAUUCAUAUUAUUUGCCUCUGAUUUAGUAGAGAGUAUAAAAUCAUGUAAGUCUAAUUCAAAAUGUCAAAAGAAAUGUGUGUGUCCCCGCCCCCCCAAAGGAUAUGUAUACACAAUUCACUUUGGUGGAGAGGAUUUAGGUCAUGCAAGUACGGGGGAACACACUUAUGGGCCGUUGAUCUGUGCCAGCUUCGCACAUAUGUUUGUGCAUUAUUUUCUUUUUGUGUUGUAUAACACUUCGUAUACGUUUGCAAUGUUAUGUAUAUUAAAUCGUAUAUCUGUUUAUUCAUGGGACCAGAUAACCGUUUGUGUGGGGUAUAUACAGUAAGUGAAUUUGCACGUGUACAAGUCCCAAGGAAAACGAUCCUUUCGGAGUACAGAUAGCUAGCUCUUCUUCCCUUGUUCUUGUUCGUUUUAUCUCUCUCUUCUAGUUCGAUCUCACCUUACAAUAAAUAGAAUCCUGUAGUAAACUAGGUUAUUUUUUGAAUCUACUAAAAUAGAUACAAAUUAUCAGCAAUACAAGUGGAGUUCUAUAGGAAGGUUGUUCAAAAAGGUUUGUUAUAUUUGCAUAUUUCAUCUGCAUAAAUUUUUGAGAUCUAUAAUAUUUGUUGAAUGUCCUGAUUGGUUUUGUGUUUUGCACAUUAAUGAUUCAUUCAUUUGUUUGGUUUGUUCAAUCGACAUACUGGAUAUAUUAACUGUGUUUACUCUAAAAUACUAUGAUUUUCAAACUUCGAAGGAAAAUAAACUGUUACCACCGUUGCAAUGCAUAUAUGAAUAAUUUUUGUUUAGUUACUGAGGAUGAAACUUAGUCUAUUCAAAUUUUGUUUAUUCUACUUCAUGAGUAGUAAAAUAUAUUGACUAUAUUAACUUGAAUUUCUAUAUUAGUUGUGUUAAAUGUGACAUGCUACGAUUUCAAAUGUUUCAUGCGGCAUAACCAUUCUUCUGUUGUUCUUCUUAGUUCUUGUUUCUCUCUAGUACAAAAGGGCCUAAUGUGAAGCUCAUUAGUCCUGGUUUGUAAGUGAACCGGCACUAAUGUGACCAUUAGUGCAGGUUCCAAUGGCUAGGCGGGCGGUGGUCAUUAGUCCCGGUUCUUGCCACGAACCGGGACUAAUGAGGUGGUGGCAGGCUGGUGUCAAGCUGCGGCCCCACCAACACCUUUAGUCCCGGUUCGUGGCAUGAACCGGUACUAGAGAUGCACCUUUAGUCCCGGUUUGUAUAACCAACUAGGACUAAAGAUCAUCCUAUAUAAACCCCUUCGUCGAGUCCGAGCUCUCUGUUCUUCCCCUUUCCUUUCCUCCCCUCUUUGUUCUUCCCGUCUUUCUCGAGCUCAUCACACAUUUUGCCCAAAAUUUGUCAAGAUUUUAAGGCCCCCAUCCAUUCAAGUGGUCACAAAGGUUAGCAACUUUGUCCUUUCAUUUCUCAUUGCUAGAUAAGCUCUUGCAAUGCUCUAUAUAGUGAUUAAUUUGUGGGUUUUAGUAAUUUGGGAGGACUUAUAUGUGGCAGUUUAUUCGAUUUAUAUGCAAUUUGAGCUCAAAAUAACUUUUAGUUUGCAUAUGUAGGUGUGGUUUACUUAGUGCCUUCACGUCUCCGUCCUAACCACCACCGAUCGCCCGCACCGUCCCAUCGCCGGCACCACCUUGUGGUGAGCCUCUUGUUCUUAUCUUUUUCGUAUAAAAAUCAUGUUUGUGUGAUUUAGAUAUAUAGUUACUUGUAUAAUUAUCUUACACGUAUGUUGUUUGUUAUACAUAGUGCCAUGGUUUUGAUAUCCGUCCCCGUCGGCCCUCGUCCGAUUUAUGAUUCAGAUGUGGUAUAUUUUCUUUUAUAACUAUUUGUUGCAUUUCGUGUUUAUGAAAAAUUAUGCCCAUCAAGUUGACAUAGAUAUUUUUAUCUAUGAGGUAUGUGAACUAGAAAUUCCAACAGACCCUAUUGUCAAGAGGUUAAAUUUAGUUGAAAAUGAAAAUGAGUAUUUGAAAUAAAAAUAGAAAAGAAUUGAGGAGGAGAAGAUGGAAUUGGAGUUGCAUCUUGCCGAUGUCGUCGAUGAUCACAAGAUCAAGAUGGAGAAAAUGUGCUUGAAGAUUAGAAAGAUUAGAAAAUUUGCCAUUGAUAGUGAGGCUUGGUAUCAUUAUGCUGUUGGAUCAAUUGUUACCUUAAUUGCGAUCUUGAUCGCAUUUGUUGUUGCAUUUAAAUGCUUUAGCUAGAUAGUUUGUAUGUAGUUUUAUGAGAAUAAGUGUGUAUGGAACUUUAUGUAUGAACUUCUAUUAAUUUGGUCUUUUCGGUGCUAUGUAAUGAUGAUGAUCCGGCAAUGGAUGUACGAUGACCGAUGCUCUCCCCAGUUCAUUAAUGGCGUGCGUACUUUUCUGCUUGCGGCUGAGGCAAACAAGUGGGCGGAUGGUUUUAUGUCUUGUCCAUGUGUUGCUGUAAGAAUGAUCGGAAUUACUCUAAGUCAAAAACCAUUCACAUCUACCUGUUUGAGUCCGGUUUCAUGCCCCACUAUAAUGUUUGGACCAAGCACAGAGAAAGAGGGGUUAUGAUGGAAGACAAUGAAGAAGAAGAGGAUGACGACAACUAUCCUGGCCAUGGGUUCCCUGAAUAAGAUGGUACAAUAAUGGGGGAUGUAGUUGAGCCGGCAAUGCGGGAAGAAGCUAAGCCGGCAAUGCGGGAAGAAGCUGAAGAAGAGGCAUUAGAUGAGCCCAUGAUCUAGGUCGGGCCAUUGCCGAUGCAAAGAGAAACUGCACAAGUGAGAAGGAGAGGCUGAAGUUGCAGCGCAUGUUAGAGGACCAAAAGAAAUUGUUGUACCCAAAUUGCGAAGCUGACAAAGAAAAGCUGGGCACCACACUGGAAUUACUACAAUUGAAGGCAGAGAAUGGUGUAUCUGACAAGGGAUUUGGAAAGUUGCUGAAAUGUUAAAGAAGAUGCUUCCAAAGGACAACGAAUUGAACGACAGUGUGUAUGAAGCAAAGAAGGUUGCCUGCCCUCUAGGGUUAGAGGUGCAGAAGAUACAUGCAUGCCCUAAUGACUACAUCCUUUACCGCGGCGAGUACGAGGACUGGAACGCGUGCCCAGUAUGCGGUGCAUUGCGCUAUAAGAUCAAUCGCGAUGAUCCUAGUGAUGUCGAGGGCGAGCACCCCAGGAAUAAGAUUCCUGCCAAGGUGAUGUGGCCUGCUCCUAUAAUACCACGGUUGAAACGUUUGUUCCAAAACAAAGAGCAUGCCAAGUUGAUGUGAUGGCACAGAGAGGACCGUAAGAAACACGAGAAGUUGAGAGUACCCGCUGACGGGUCGAAGUGGAGAAAAAUCGAGAGAAACUACUGGGAGGACUUCACAGGUGACGCAAGGAAUGCAUGGUUUGGUCUAAGCGCAGAUGGCAUUAAUCCUUUUGGGGAGCAGAGCAGCAAUCAUAGCACCUGGCCUGUGACUCUAUGUAUGUAUAACCUUCCUCCUUGGUUGUGCAUGAAGAGGAAGUUCAUUAUGACGCCAGUGCUCAUCCAAGGCCCUAAGCAACUCGGCAACGACAUUGAUGUGUACCUAAGGCCAUUAGUUGAAGAACUCUUACAGCCGUGGAAUGAAAAAGGUGUACGUGCGUGGGAUGAGCAUGGACAGGAGGAAUUUGACCUACAUGCGUUGUUGUUUGUGACCAUCAAUGAUUGACCUGCUCUCAGUAACCUUUCAGGACAGACAAACAAGGGAUACCGCGCAUGCACGCACUGUCACGCACUAUUUGGAUGAUACCGACAAUAUAUAUUUGGAUAACUGUAAGAAGAAUGUGUACCUGGGACAUCGUUGAUUUAUUCCGAGCAGGCAUCCCGUAAGAAAGAAAGGCAAGCAUUUCAAAGGUGAGGCAGAUCACCAGACGAAGCCUCGCCACCAUAUUGGUGAUGAUGUACAUGAUAUGAUCAAGGAUUUGAAGGUAAUCUUUGAAAAGGGUCCUGGCGGACAAUCUGUUCUGAAUGACGCUGACGGACGUGCACCCAUGUGGAAGAAGAAAUCUAUAUUUUGGGACCUACCCUAUUGGAAAGACCUAGAGGUCUGCUCUGCAAUCGACGUGAUGCACGUGAUUAAUAAUCUUUGCGUGACCCUGCUUGGUUCUUAGGCCUUCUUGGGCGUGUAUGGGAAGACAAAAGAUACACCGGAGGCAAGGGAGGACCAGCAACGUAUGCACGAAAAGGACGACAUACAUCAGGGUCAGUCCAGCUACGCUCUUACCAAAGAAGAGAAGAAAAUUUUCUUUGAAUGCCUGCUCAGUAUGAAGGUCCCGUUUGGCUUCUCGUCGAAUAUAGAGGGAAUAAUAAAUAUGGCAGAGAAAAAUUUCCAGAACCUAAAGUCUCAUGACUGCCACUUGAUUAUGACGCAACUGCUUCAGGUUGCAUUGAGGGGGCUUCUAUCGGAAAAAAUUCGAUUAUCCAUUGUGAAGUUGUGUGCAUUCCUCAAUGCAAUCUGUCAUAAGGUAAUCGAUCCAGAAAUCAUACCAAGGUUAGAGAAUGAUUUGGUGCAAUUUCUUGUCAGUUUCGAGUUGGUGAUCCCACUAUCCUUCUUCAAUAUCAUGACGCAUGUCCUAGUUCACCUAUGCGAAGAGAUAGCUGUUCUGGGUCCUGUAUUUCUACACAACAUGUUCCCCUUUGAGAGGUUCAUGGGAGUCUUAAAGAAAUAUGUUCAGAACCGUGCUAGGCCAGAAGGAAGCAUCUCCAAGGUCCAUGAAAAUGAGGAGGUCAUUGAGUUUUGUGUUGACUUUAUUACUGAGCUUAAGCCAACUAGUGUUCCUGAAUCGCGGCAUAAGGGUAGACUGGGUGGAAAUGGCAUGCUAGGACCGAAUCAAAUAAUAUGUAUGGAUGUGCAUCCUCACACUAAAGCACACUACACAGUUCUACAAAAUUCUGCCUUGGUGGCUCCAUAUAUGGAGGAACACAAGAAUAUUCUAAGCUCCAAAUACUUGGAGCAGUAUGAAGACUGGAUUACACGUGAACAAACGAGGACUUCCGCCAGUUGGUUGCAAGCACAUGCCAUGCAUGACGACGCUAUUAAAGAUGACCUGUACUUGCUGUCCCAGUUACCAUCUUUGAAUAUAAUGACUUUCAAAGGGUACGAGAUAAAUGGGAAUACAUUUUACACGAUCUCCCAAGAUAAAAAGAGCACCAACCAAAACAGUGGUGUCGGCUUUGAUGCAACAACUAAUAAGAGAAAGGACACAUAUUAUGGUUACAUAGAGGAGAUAUGGGAACUUGACUAUGGAACUGAUUUGAAGGUCCCUUUGUUUCGGUGCAAAUGGGUCAAUCUGACAGGAGGCGGUGUAAAGGAAGACCCGCAGUACGGAAUGACAACAGUGGAUCUCAACAAUCUUGCGUACAUAGACGAACCAUUCGUCCUACCAAUGAUGUGGCGCAGGUUUUCUAUGUGAAGGACAUGUCUACCAAGCCGAGAAAAAGAAAAGAUAAAGAAGCGAAUACAUCAUACAAUGAGACAAAGCGCCACAUAGUUCUUUCAGGGAAAAUAAACAUCGUGGGAGUGGAUGACAAGACAGACAUGUCAGAAGAUUAUGAAAAGUUUCAUGAAAUUGCUCCCUUCACAGUGAAUGUUGACCCGAGCAUCCAGUUAAAUGAUGAAGAUUGUCCAUGGUUAUGGUGCAAAGGGACACACACAAAUAAAAAGUUUCACACCCAAAGAUCCCAUUCUGGGAUGUGACCGGCUUUACUGUCAUCACUUUCUUCUCUAGUGAGUUUCCAGACUUAUAUAUAUCUAGAAAGUCCCACUUUGGACAAACCAUAGGGAAUCUUUUUAAUUGUUAGGGCGCUCAGUGUUUUGGCAUUUGACACGUGUACUUGUGUGAUUCGGACAAACGUCGUCAAUUUUCAACCCUUUCCGACUUCAUUUGGUAUUUUUCAUGCAUUUAUUGAUUUUUUUGAGCUAAAUGACCAUGAAAUUGAAAAGCACUACAAAUGAACUCUAAAAAGGUUGAAAGUUAGCAUGGUAUCAUUAUUUCACCGACAUAGCAUGUGCUAAAAGUUGAGAGGGUUACGACAAAAACUAGAUGCACUUCGUGUACAAAAUGGACAAUCUCUUUCGAAGUAUCACAGUUUCGAACGAAAACUCAUCUGUUACAAAAGCAUUUCAUUUUUUAAACUUAUUUCAACUCCAGAAUUUUUGUGCAUUCAGUAUGCACCAUUCAAAGCCAUGUCAUCAAUUUUCAACCCUUUCCGACUUCAUUUGCUAUUUUUCAUGCAUUUAUUGAUUUUUUUAGCUAAAUGACCCUGAAAUUGAAAAGCACUACAAAUGAACUCUGAAAAGGUUGAAAGUUGGCAUGGUAUCAUCAUUUCACCUGGAUAGCAUGUGCUAAAAAGGUGAGAGGGUUACGGCAAAAACUAGAUGCACUUCAUGUACAAAAUGAACAAUCUCGUUCUAAGUAUCAGGCUUUCGGACAAAAACUCAUCUGUUACAAAGGCAUUUCAUUUUUUAAAACUUAUUUCAACUCCAGACUUUUUGUGCGUUCAGUAUAUACCAUUCAAAGCCACGUCAUCAAUUUUGAACCCUUUCUGACUCCAUUUGCUAUUUUUCAUGCAUUUACUGAUAUUUUUGAGCUAAAUGACCCUAAAAUUGAAAAGCACUACAAAUGAACCCUAAAAAGGUUGAAAGUUGGCAUGGUAUCAUCAUUUCACCCACAUAUCAUGUGCUAAAAAGUUGAGAGGGUUACGACAAAAACUGGAUGCACUUCGUGUACAAAAUGGACAAUCUCUUUCGAAGUAUCAGGGUUUCGGACGAAAACUCAUCUGUUACAAAGGCAUUUCAUUUUUUGAACUUAUUUCAACUCCAGACUUUUUGUGCAUUCAAUAUGCACCACUCAAAGCCAACUCAUCAAUUUUCAACCAUUUCUGACUUCAUUUGCUACUUUUCAUGCAUUUACUGAUUUUUCGAGCUAAAUGAUGCUGAAAUUGAAAAGCACUAGAAAUGAACUCUAAAAAGGUUGAAAGUUGGCAUGGUAUCAUAAUUUCACCCACAUAGCAUGUUCUAAAAAGUUGAGAGGGUUAUGGCAAAAACUGGAUGCACUUCAUGUAUAAAAUGGACAAUCUCUUUCAAAGUAUAAUGGUGGACGAAAACUCAUGUGUUACAAAGGCAUUUCAUUUUUUUAAAUAACCUAAGUAUUACCAUAUUGAGUAUAAUGAUAAAACACAAUAAUAUUAAAUAUAAGAAAAAAAGAAUCACUAAAAAAUCUAUUUUUAAAGUAAAGUCAUUCACAAACUAGUGAUUCACACAAAUUUCAAAUAAUUCAAAUUAAAACUAUUUAAAUUCGAAAACUACUAGCACUAACAGAAAGUUUAUAUUUUUUACCUAAAGCAAAAAAUAUUCACAAAGAAACUCUAAAUAAAAGCAAAAAACAACUCAGAAAUAAAAGAAAAUAAAUAACGCAGAAAACAAAAAAAUAAUAAUGGAAAAAGCCCACCUACUGGGCCACAACGGACUGCAUACGACUGGAAACCCAACCUUUGUUGGGCCAGGAUGCAGGCCCGCAAGGCCCAGUAGGCCCAUAGGGAAACACAUAGUGUUAGGCCCAGAAGCCUGCUUUGGAGAGGAGCUCGAAGGAGCAACCGCGGUUGGGUUUAUAAACCUACUACAGGCAGCCCCAAGGCCGGUAGCUUCCUUUGUUGCAUCCCCGUCCUCUUUUUCCUCACCCACAGAUUCCCUCCUCCAAUCUUGAUCAUCCUCCUCUCUCCCCUCCCUAUCCUCUGUUACAUGAACAAUUGACCCAUCUAAACCUACUACAGCCUCAACCCUCUUAGUACAAACUCUUCUACAAGAAACACUUAUAUCAUUUGCACUCUUAUACACUAAGCUCUCUGAGCUAGUGGUAUCCAUGUUAAACACUAGGUUGUGGUCAUCACGAAGACACCUAUUGCUACCCGCCGUGCUCUCCAGGAUGGAUGCAAAGGCACCCUUGCGGCUGGACACGUCGCUGCCACUAUUUGGGGGCGUUGGGACCACAAACUUCACAUGCUUGGCACACAAGCCUUGAAUGGAAGCGCGCUCCACCUGCUCGUCUCUAUAUAGUCUUUUCCAUCGGAUUCGAAUAGACUCAGUUCCCUUGGAUGUGUCAGCAACCUCGCCUUCAGCAUGGGCGCUCAUGUUGAUGGAGCUAGCACCCAUGCCUUUAGUGCCCUGUACAUCCACCAAGUCACACUGGUGGACUAUAGGAGCACCAUCCGCGACUUCUUUGUGUCGCAACACAGCAGCAGCAGCAGGGGUCUCGAGAGCACUCAAGAUGAUGGAGAGAGUGGCGCCCAUCCUGGGAAGAGUGGCGCCUGAUCCGGCCCGUCUACUCAACCAGACUCGAUGUCCAUCUCAACAUCAUUGGAAGAGUGGCGCCCAUCCUGGGAACCUGCAGCCCCCAUCAUGUCCUCCCCACAAUUCUGCACACCAAUAGAAGUGGAAAACAAAGGCGCCGCCGCGACCGUGAGCUUCUGGACAGCCGUGGUCACCGCCCUGAUCACCUUCUCUGUCAGUUUGGUCCUGCCCAACGCCUCCGCAUCUCCAGGGGCCCCCGACUAAUGAAGCCAUGUACCUAGGGUAGGGUCAUGGACCUGUACAAGAUACCCUCCCCAAGGACAUCUCUAUGGGAAGCUGCCUUCCAGUCGACCAAGAGAGAUUCCACUCGACAGACUCGAAGACACUCGACCAUGAAGACUCACUCGACCACUAGGAGAUCAAGAGCCACUCUGCAUCCAAAUGGUCUGUAAUUAAGUAGUCUUUAUGGCCAUGAUGACACUUUAUGUAAGGCGUUAUAGGUAACGCCUGGCCUUAAUGUACUUCAAACCCUCCGCUGCGUGGGCUGGCUAGGGUCCUGGCAGACACUAUAUAAGCCACCCUCCUCCACUGGCAGAAGGGUUCGCACCCCUGUAACACAUACGCUUAUAAUCCAGUCGACCGCCUCUGGGCUCCGAGACGUAGGGCUAUUACUUCCUUCGAGAAGGGCUUGAACUCGUAAAUCCCUUGCGUAUACAAUUACUCCAUAGCUAGGAUCUUGCCUCUCUAUACCUACCCCCCAUUCUACUGUCAGCCUUAGUACCACGACAGUUGGCGCCACCGUGGGGCAGGUGUCUUAGCGACUUAUUGGAGAAGUUGCAUUUGUUCCGAUCUCCUUCAUCAUGGUUUCUGGCGGAGUUCUGGUCGAGGGCCGCGAGAUCCGCAGUGGCUCGCCAAUCGGCCACCACCCAAGUCGCGGCAAUCGAGCCCGACGAAUCUCUCUAGGCCUGUUCGAUCUGUCGACUGGCUCCGUAGAGACCGCAUCCGAGUGCGACAGCAGUGAUCCAGCGGCAGAGGUUCUGAUGGUCAAUGGGCCUCGUAGUCCUCCCGGCUUUCCCCGCACUGACGGGAUGGACGACGGAGGCGACCCCGCUCAGGUCCAUGAUGUCAGGACCCCGACUCAAUGCCACAUCGAUUUAGCAUGUAACACCUCAUAUCACUUUACGGCCUCACGCAUGGUAUCCCCACGGGUGUCGCCUUACCUAUGCCCGGGACCGUUUGCGCCUUUUGGCACACGUAUAUGAUAGUGUCGCUAGCAUCCAUAUGAUAAGGAGCCCGGGCUGACAUGGCUAGUCGUAAACCCAAAGUGGCACAAACUUACAGGGACAGGCAUCCAUGACCCAGCAUCGAACGUGUCGGUCAUCAGCGAGUGAAUCCAGGCUGUAGCACUGGGCUAGCAGGACUCCGGUGAACCGGGCUGUAGCGGGCUAACAGGACUCCGGUAUUCAUCGCGUGACAUUUCCCCGAAGGGACAGACACAGGAACAAAGAAGGACACAUGCCGGCCAACCUAAGUGUUCCGGAGCAGUAGCAAGCUACCAUGGCUUAGUGGAAGCACUAGGAGACAUUUCCCGGUAAGAGAGGCUACUAAGGAUAAACAACUAGAUAGUCAGAUCCCACACAUACCAAGCAUUUCAAUAACAUACACACAAUAUGCUCGAUAUGUGCAAAUACAACAUGGCAUCACAACAUGAGUCUACAACUCAAGUAUCUAUUCAAUAGGCUCCGAGGAGCGAGAUAUUACAAACAUGGGUCUCAUGACCCAACAUUCAGAGCAUACAAGUCAAAGCACAAGCGGAAGCUUAACAUGUCUGAGAACAGACAACUAAAAAUGAAAAAGGCUGAGAAGCCUGUGUAUCUACCAGAUCCUGCCGAGGGCACAAGAUCGUAGCUGAGGUAACAAGCUAAACGUCGAAGUCCAUGCAGAACUACUAGUGAGACUAAAGUCUCUCUGCAAAAACGUAAAAUAGGCAAACGUGAGUACAAAGGUACCCAGCAAGACUUACAUCAGAACUAGCUACAUAUGCAUCAUUAUCAACAAAGGGAUGGUGGGGUUUAACUGCAGCAAGCCAGCUUUGACUCGGUGGCUAACCUGAACUACGACUGCAAGUAACUCUUUUGAGGUGGCACACACGAGUCCACAUAUUCACCAUAUCAAUACACCACUAUGGAUCCGCUCCCGUCUCCCUACGAGAACGCCAUCCAUAGCACUCACGCUUAUCUUGCGCAUUUUAGAGUCUCCACUUUCACUUGUCUAUGAACUGUACAGGCAACCCAGAAGUCCUUUUCCGCGGACACGGCUAUUCGAAUAGAUCAUAUUAACCCUGCAGGGGUGUACUUCUUCACACAUGCUCUCGCCACUUACCGCCAUGUACACGUCAUGUAUCUCGGCAACCUUCAAGCGGAAGCCUGGCGAGGGAGUCGGCCACGACCUGACUAACCACACAAGUCUCUAGUCCAGGUUUAUCGCCUAUUCGGGUUCCAUCCGCAAGGAGAUCCGGCCGGGGUGUCGCUCACGGCCCCAAACGAUGUGUGUAGGGUUCCCAAGCCCACCUCAACGGGUGGAUCUACGCUUGGUACACCGUGCCAUGGUGCCUAGUUUGUCCCAAGCCCACCUGUACCGGGUGCCACUUGGUAGACUACUAACACUACCUACAAACACCAGAAACUAGUUGCAACUCCUGGACAGAGAUCAUGUUGAUUAAUAAGUCGAGAGGGGUCGAGUUACUGGAACCCAAUGUGUGGUAGUAACUGUUCAUGGAUCACAAACACAGAACUCAGUUCCUAAGGACGACUUCAAUGAGACAACCCACCAUGUACUCCUACAUGGCCUCUCACCGCUACCUUUACCAAAUCGUGUUCACACACUUAGCUCUCAACAGUAGGACAUGUUCACACACCUCCAAUUCAUCCCUGAUGAAUCAGACCUGACACAACUCUAAGCAAUAGCAGGCAUGACAAACAAGCAUGAAUGAGUAGGCACAUCAGGGCUCAAACAACGCCUACUCAUGCUAGUGGGUUUCAUCUAUUUACUGUGGCAAUGACAGGUCAUGCAGAGGAUAAAGGGGUUCAGCUACCGCAGCAAGUAACAAAUGAAUCGUUGUUGUCCUAAUGCAGUAAAAGAGAGCAGGAGCGAGAGAGUAGGAUUGUAUCGGAAUGAACAAGGGGGUUUUGCUUGUCUGGCACUUCUGAAGAUAGUAAUAGUUCUUCAUCGGUGUCAUCGAACUCAUCGUUGGAACCACGUCUAUCGAGAGGGGACAAAUACCGGCAAACAAGGAAGAACACAAUCAAUGCAAUGCACAAUAUGAUGCAUGAUCAUGACAUGUCAAUAUGCUGUGAUUUGAGCUAAUGCAACUAGCAACAGGUUAAAUGGAGUUGGUUUGAACCCUAGGUUCAAAUUCAAACUCCAUAUGUGAAGGUUUAAAUGCCAUUUGUAUGAUUUGGCCUAAACAGCCGCUAUAAGUUGUUCUAACAUGCAUGAAAAUGGUACAGAUGGAUAGAUUGGAUUUUUCUGAUAAUUUUUCAUAUAUAAAUUAUUUCAUUCUGAGCUACGGUUAUUUUUCUACGAUUUUUAGAAGUUUGGGUAUUUUUUGAAAUUCCUGAAAUAAAAAAUAAAUCCAGAAAAGGUUAUCUGCGUCAGCAUGACGUCGGGGUGACGUCAGCAGGUCAAAGGCGCCAGCCCAGGUCAAACCUGGCGGCCGGGACCCACAUGUUAGUGUCUAACUAAUUAACCUGAGUUAAUUAGCUCUAAACUAACACUAAACUAAACCAGUUAAGGCCCUGGUCCCACAUGUCAGUAUUAACAGGGCUAAUUAUGUUUAGUUAGCACUUAACCUAAUUAGCAGCGGCACGGGCCCACCUGUCAGUGACCCUGGGACAGGGUCAAAUCCCGGGUCAGUGGGGUCAAACCCACCGGCGACAUGACGCCGGCGAGGCCAGCCACGGUGGCGAGCCUCGGGUUUGCGUCUCCGGCGACCAAACGGCCGGCGGAGGGCAUCUAUGUGAUGCGGACGCACGUCCGCAUUGAGUGGUGGUGGCGGUUGGGCCUGGGGUGGCUGGAGUUGUCGCCAUCGAUGACCUCAGCGGUUGCCGGAGCUCGGGUGAGCUCGGGAUAGAGGCUACGGCGGAUGAGUCGGCGCGUGCGAGGCAUCUACGGGCCCUACGAGAUGCGGCAAGGUCAGUGGACAGGACGACGGGGCCGUUGUGUGGCCGGAGCCACGUCGGCGGUGAGCUCAGGCGACGGCGCGAGCGGGUGUGCUUGGUUCGGCGACUACGACGAGUGGCAGAGAGAACGGAGAGGGGCAGGAUGGUCAGUGGCUCACGACAGAUGCAGGGGUGGCUUUGGCGUGCUCGGGGAAGCACCGGGGCGAGCGCAGCGGCGAAGGGGAUCUCCGGCGGCCGGCGACGAAGAUGGCGAUGAUGCAGGGCCUCCGGUGCCAUGUAGCUCGGUGGAGAGGACAAGGAAGAUGCGGCGGAGCUUCUGGACUGCUCGAGGGGGCGAGGGAGAGGCGAUGGCCGCGGCGGUGCUCGUCGGUGGCGGCGGACGCGUUCGGUGAGAUGGGGAAUGGCGAGGGAGAGAGCAGGGGGGAGAGUGAGACGUCCAGAGGGUCGGGGCGGCGCCGAAGAGAAGCCCCGAGGCGUCGUGGUGGCCUCAGUGACGCAGGCAAGCAGGGAGGUGCGUGGCGUCGCGGGCGCGCGGGCGCUGUCUCCCUCCUUUGCCUACUGGCAAAGGUAGGUGAUGACUGGCACCAGGCCAGGUGGGCUGGGCCAGCACACGUGAGGACCAGGUGGGCUUGGUGGGCGCUAGGUAAGUGCCCAGGUGAGUCUCUCUCUCUCUCUCUCUCUCUCUCUCUCUCUCUUUUAUUUUAGUUUUUCUAUUUCUGUUAUUUUGUUUUGGUUUAGUUUGGAAACUAAACCAUUUAAAACUUUCUGUAAAUUUUUAUGUGAGCUCAGAGAGCUAGUCCAAGGUCACAUGCAAACUUACAAAAUGUUUGAACAUUAUUUCUUAUAUAGCAGAAAUAAUUCCAACCCAAAUAUAUUAUUGAUUUAAAUCAAAGACCCAAAAUAAAUUAUUUCUGUGACUCUGACAGUAUUGGUUUGAAUUUUACCUCACGCCAAUAUUUUCACAGAAUAACAGGAACAUUUUCUUGGACUCAUUUGAUGAGAUUCAAAUGUUGGUUAUUUUUAGAGGUUUUCUGAGGCUUUUGAAAAUUCCUCAAUUCAAGUUUCAUUUGAAUUUGAACAUGAUGCUCACAUGGAAGGGCUAGCCUAGUGCAUACCAGAACUAGGGAUGUGACAGCUCACCCCCAUUAAACAAGAAUCUCGUCCCGAGAUUCAAGACGUGAGGUAAGAAGACAAAGGGGACAUGAGCUAACACAAUCUUUGCGAUCCAACAGCCCUUCUCGAAGAUGUUGAUUCAUUGCUUCAAAUUGAUCUUAACGUCUUUGCUUUCAAGAUCUUCAUCCAACAUGAUGACAAAAGGGAAAAGAAAUUCUACCGGAAUUGAUCUCCUCGAAGUUCGAGCACUCAAGAUCAACUCAUGGAGUGAGACGAAAGAACAUCUCUUGAGCUGAGACACAGGACACAUAUCGAGAGGGAUGUAUAGUGAUAGAUGACGAAGAUUCAGAUUGGUAGGCAACAAUUCACACUUAACAAGAUGGUGAACGGUUAUCAACGUAGUGAGGAGUUGAGUUGCCAUGAUACAAUAAUAGGGCACCUUAGGGAAGGUGACUCGUAGAACUAUUGUGACGCCCCUGAUUCAAUCGUACACUAAUCAUGCACGCAAAUGUGUACGAUCAAGAUCAGGGACUCACGGGAAGAUAUCACAACACAACUCUACAAAUAAAAUAAGUCAUACAAGCAUCAUAAUACAAGCCAGGGGCCUCGAGGGCUCGAAUACAAGUGCUCGAUCAUAGACGAGUCAGCGGAAGCAACAAUAUCUGAGUACAGACAUAAGUUAAACAAGUUUGCCUUAAGAAGGCUAGCACAAACUGGGAUACAGAUCGAAAGAGGCGCAGGCCUCCUGCCUGGGAUCCUCCUGACUACUCCUGGUCGUCGUCAGCGGGCUGCACGUAGUAGUAGGCACCUCCGGUGUAUUAGGGGUCGUCGUCGAUGGUGGCGUCUGGCUCUUGGACUCCAGCAUCUGGUUGCGACAACCAGAAAGAAAGGAAAGGGGAAAAAAGUGGGGAGAAAGCAACCGUGAGUACUCAUCCAAAGUACUCGCAAGCAAGGAACUACACUACAUAUGCAUGGGUAUAUGUGUAAGGAGGCCAUAUCAGUGGACUGAACUGCAGAAUGCCAGAAUAAGAGGGGGGAUAGCUAGUCCUAUCGAAGACUACGCUUCUGGCAGCCUCCGUCUCGCAGCAUGUAGAAGAGAGUAGAUUGAAGUCCUCCAAGUAGCAUCUCCAAGUAGCAUCUCCAAGUAUCAUCUCCAAGUAGCAUCUCCAAGUAUCAUCUCCAAGUAGCAUCGCAUAGCAUAAACCUACCCGGCGAUCCUCUCCUCGUCGCCCUGUGGAAAAGCGAUCACCGGGUUGUCUGUGGAACUUGGAAGGGUGUGUUUUAUUAAGUAUCCGGUUCUAGUUGUCAUAAGCUCAAGGUACAACUCCAAGUCGUCCUGUUACCGAAGAUCACGGCUAUUCGAAUAGAUUAACUUCCCUGCAGGGGUGCACCACAUAACCCAACACGCUUGAUCCCAUUUGGCCGGACACACUUUCCUGGGUCAUGCCCGGCCGCAGAAGAUCAACACGUCGCAGCCCCACCUAGGCAAAACAGAGAGGCCAGCACGCCGGUCUAAACCUAAGCGCACAGGGGUCUGGGCCCAUCGCCCAUAGCACACCUGCACGUUGCGAGGGCGGCCGAAAGCAGACCUAGCCUAGUGGCGUUCCAGUCCAAUUCGGCGCGCGCCGCUCCGUCGCUGACGUCUGAAGUGCUUCGGCUGAUACCACGACGUCGGGAUACCCAUAACUACUCCCACGUAGAUGGUUAGUGCGUAUAGGCUCGUAGCCGACUCAGAUCAAAUACCAAGAUCUCGUUAAGCGUGUUAAGUAUCCGCGAACGCCGAACAGGGCCAGGCCCACCUCUCUCCUAGGUGGUCUCAACCUGCCCUGUCGCUCCGCCACAAAGUAACAGUCGAGGGCCGUCGGGAACUCAGGCCCACCUCUACCGGGAUGGAGCCACCUGUCCUUUCAGCCCCCUUAUCCGAAUCACUUGCGGGUACUCAACGAGCUGACCCGACUUUAGUCACCAUCUGUAUAGUAUGUAUGUAUGUAUGAUAUAUACCCGUGAUCACCUCCUGAGUGAUCACGGCCCAAUAUUAUAGCAAGGCAGACUGACAAGAAUGUAGGGCCAAUGAUGGUAAACUAGCAUCCUAUACUAAGCAUUUAGGAUUGCAGGUAAGGUAUCAACAGAUGUAGCAACAAUGUCAGGCUAUGCAUCAGAAUAGGAUUAACGGAAAGCAGUAACAUGCUACACUACUCUAAUGCAAGCAGUAUAGAGAAGAGUAGGCGAUAUCUGGUGAUCAAAAGGGGGGGGGCUUGCCUGGUUGCUCUGGCAAGAGAGAGGGGUCGUCAACUCCGUAGUCGAACUGGUCAGCAGCAGCGUCGGUCUCGUAGUCUACCGGAGAGAAGAGGGGGAAGAAAUAAUGAAUACAGAGCAAUCAAAGCAUCACAAAAUAUAACAAGGCAAUACGCGGUGUUCGGUGUGCCCUAACGCGGUAGUAGGUGAUACCGGAGAAGGGGGGAAAACAUCCGGGAAAGUAUUCCCGGUGUUUCGUGUUUUCUGACAGAUGAACCGGAGGGGGAAAGUUGCGGGUUUGAUAUGUUAGGGGUGUGUGGUGGACGAACGGGCUACGUAUCCGGGUUCGUCUCGUCGUUCUGAGCAACUUUCAUGUUGAAAAUAUUUUAAUCCGAGUUACGGAUUAAAAGAUAUGAUUUUCUAAAGAUUUUAUUAAUUUCUGGAAUUUAGUUAAUUAAUUAAUUAAUUCGAAAAAUGGAUUUAUGACGUCAGCAUGAUGUCAUGCUGACGUCAGCAGUCAAUAGAGUUGACUUGGUCAACCUGACAUGUGGGUCCAGGGGGGGACCCACCUGUCAUCCUCUAAUUAGGUUAAUUAGGGUUUAGGCUAAUCUAAUUACAGUUUAAUUAAACUUAACUAGCUAAUUAAAUUAAUUAAACCGGAUCAAUUAACUCAAUUAAUUCAUUAGUUAAUUAAUUAAUUAAUAAUUAAUUUUAUUAAUCAUUUUUAUUUUUAUUUAAUAAUUUUAUUUUUAAUUCUUUUUUUUAACCGUUCUGGGGUGUGGGCCCCCGUUGUCAUAGGGCCACUAGGACUUAGCGGAUCGGGCGGUGCGGGCGAAGGGGCACCCGCACGCGAGGCCACCAGGGGCGAGGUGGGGCGCCAGAAUCCGGCGGAGUAGGUGGAAAAGGGCCGGCCAGCUCCAGCGAGCGGCGGGAACGGGCAGCAGGGGGCUCGGCGGCAAUGGACGGCGCCGGCGUGGGCGCACGGGGCGCAGGGGGCGCGGCCAUGGACGGGGCGAGACCAGCGCGGUUGCGCAGNNNNNNNNNNNNNNNNNNNNNNNNNNNNNNNNNNNNNNNNNNNNNNNNNNNNNNNNNNNNNNNNNNNNNNNNNNNNNNNNNNNNNNNNNNNNNNNNNNNNNNNNNNNNNNNNNNNNNNNNNNNNNNNNNNNNNNNNNNNNNNNNNNNNNNNNNNNNNNNNNNNNNNNNNNNNNNNNNNNNNNNNNNNNNNNNNNNNNNNNNNNNNNNNNNNNNNNNNNNNNNNNNNNNNNNNNNNNNNNNNNNNNNNNNNNNNNNNNNNNNNNNNNNNNNNNNNNNNNNNNNNNNNNNNNNNNNNNNNNNNNNNNNNNNNNNNNNNNNNNNNNNNNNNNNNNNNNNNNNNNNNNNNNNNNNNNNNNNNNNNNNNNNNNNNNNNNNNNNNNNNNNNNNNNNNNNNNNNNNNNNNNNNNNNNNNNNNNNNNNNNNNNNNNNNNNNNNNNNNNNNNNNNNNNNNNNNNNNNNNNNNNNNNNNNNNNNNNNNNNNNNNNNNNNNNNNNNNNNNNNNNNNNNNNNNNNNNNNNNNNNNNNNNNNNNNNNNNNNNNNNNNNNNNNNNNNNNNNNNNNNNNNNNNNNNNNNNNNNNNNNNNNNNNNNNNNNNNNNNNNNNNNNNNNNNNNNNNNNNNNNNNNNNNNNNNNNNNNNNNNNNNNNNNNNNNNNNNNNNNNNNNNNNNNNNNNNNNNNNNNNNNNNNNNNNNNNNNNNNNNNNNNNNNNNNNNNNNNNNNNNNNNNNNNNNNNNNNNNNNNNNNNNNNNNNNNNNNNNNNNNNNNNNNNNNNNNNNNNNNNNNNNNNNNNNNNNNNNNNNNNNNNNNNNNNNNNNNNNNNNNNNNNNNNNNNNNNNNNNNNNNNNNNNNNNNNNNNNNNNNNNNNNNNNNNNNNNNNNNNNNNNNNNNNNNNNNNNNNNNNNNNNNNNNNNNNNNNNNNNNNNNNNNNNNNNNNNNNNNNNNNNNNNNNNNNNNNNNNNNNNNNNNNNNNNNNNNNNNNNNNNNNNNNNNNNNNNNNNNNNNNNNNNNNNNNNNNNNNNNNNNNNNNNNNNNNNNNNNNNNNNNNNNNNNNNNNNNNNNNNNNNNNNNNNNNNNNNNNNNNNNNNNNNNNNNNNNNNNNNNNNNNNNNNNNNNNNNNNNNNNNNNNNNNNNNNNNNNNNNNNNNNNNNNNNNNNNNNNNNNNNNNNNNNNNNNNNNNNNNNNNNNNNNNNNNNNNNNNNNNNNNNNNNNNNNNNNNNNNNNNNNNNNNNNNNNNNNNNNNNNNNNNNNNNNNNNNNNNNNNNNNNNNNNNNNNNNNNNNNNNNNNNNNNNNNNNNNNNNNNNNNNNNNNNNNNNNNNNNNNNNNNNNNNNNNNNNNNNNNNNNNNNNNNNNNNNNNNNNNNNNNNNNNNNNNNNNNCUUCUCGAAGAGGUCAAUCCAAUAUAUUGAUGCCUUCAUACUUCUGCUUCAGGUCAAAAUGAUGAAGUCGCCAUCCUUUCUUCGGGAUCUUCAUCGUACUUACGAAAAGGAUAUGGGGGGAAGACUCGGGAAGGGCGGGCCUUACCAGGUUGACUAUCUGGUACAUAACUCAGGGAAUGGGGUAGGAAGUAACUCUCGAAUUGAACUUAAGAAAAUAUCGAGAGUAAAGUAAGAAGGUACCAUGAGAAGUUUCAAACGGAUAGGCCAUUGUUCGAUGUCUGAAACAACAUGCGAAAGGGGUCCAGAGCAAUGAGAUUGAGUAUUGCGUCUGCUACCAAAAUAGAUCACUUGGGACGGUGGCCCGUGAGUUACAUACGAGGCCGCACGCGAGGAACAUCCUUGGGAAGAGGGGGUGCAGGAGAGUCAGGUUUCGAUCCUGUGGAACUGUGGGUUAUGGGCCCACCAUGUGGUUGAAAGUAGGAAGGGGGCCGACAUUUUGCACGGUCAUGAUAGUAAGGCGUGUCAAAGGGUAGCCUGUCAGAUAUGUCGGCAACAACAUCGAUACCAAGGGCGAGGGACGAAGAGAACCAAUUCCUGCUCGUUGAACGAGGCGGGCCAAUAGGCAAAGUUCUCGUCCAUCGGUGGUUACCGGAAUGUUUUCAACAAUAGUAACAGGGUCUUGCUGACCGAGUUGUACAUCGAGGUGUUUGCGCAAGCAGUGGAUUAUUACUGCUUAUAUCAUAUAGAUCAUAGAAAAGGUUUAAACAAACCAAUGGAAGGAAAUAUGAUCAUCAGAUUAAACAGAACAAUGGAAAGGAAAAUAUGUUUAAACACAUAUUUCGAGGGUAUAUCCUUCCCAAGGACAAGCAGAGCAAGAUAUCCAUGACAGGAUAUAAAGUAGAAAACCAUUUAGGUAAGGGGGAAGGAAUCUCAUGAUAUUACUCAUACAACGGUGUUAGGAUAAUUGAUAAUUAAAAUAUAGCAUCGUGCUUCAAAUGUUCCUGUUGAAAAUCGGAGUACCAUUGACAUGCUUCGAGAUAGCAUUGACAUGGUCAUCAGGUGAAGAUCAGACUCUAGAAACACAAAGGAUCCAUCAGGAAUAACUUGUAGAAUAAGUCUUACAAUUUCCUCAGGGAAGAAUGGAUAACCUUGUUAAAAAGGAAACAUUAACACUAGGUCCUCCGGCCAGGUGUACUGGGCAAGACAUCACCUUACCGGGUCAUAAAAGAACAUUGUUAUUACCCUUGGAAAUAUAUUCCAACCAUCAUAUCUGACUGGGAUUCAGAUCUGAUCGGUGUUAGGAUACCUCAGACUCAGGGUACCUGAGAAGAAAAGGUGUAACACACAUUGACUAGAUGAUAAUGUAAGAUCCUUGGAAAUGAACUAUGGAAGCGAGUUCCAAAACAAGAGUUCAUCAUUUAACCAAUAAGAGGACGAGGAGGUGGCUGAUGGACUCAGCGUCAAUUCCUCGAGAUUUCCAAAAGGAUGGAUUUCCGCAACUAUGUGAAUAAAGAGAUAACAUUUCUUAGAUCAGAUGACAUAAGGAGGUAUGCUCGAGGAAAACAUACACAAUUAGACAUUUGUUGAAAGGUGCACCCAAAAUAUGGGUUGGGUUGCACGACCAAUGUCAGAAUGGUGAUUCAAUAAUCAAUAGUCUAAGAAUGAAUGGCCGACCAUUUACUUCAAAGCAAUAGGGUUGCUAGAAGUGCAGAAUCCAAACAGCACCGUUCACUUGUUUGUACCCCAGUUGGAAUCAACACGAGGACCAUGAAAGAAUGGUGAUGGUGAGAAGUAGCACUACACCAAGAACGCUCAAGAGGUGGAAAAAAUCUCAGAACAUUCUUGACAUAAAAGAUGGUAAUACUCCAAGAUAAAGAAGAACAAAGGCUGGAUAGCAAGGAACUCAAGGUAUAACACAAAACAUGAACAAGUUUGUGUUGGGGGAAGGCAAGAAUGUCGUCGAUGAUAACACAAUCAUCGAGGGGCAAGGAUGGUAUUUCUCAUCACAAAUUCAAUUGAUAUCCUGGAUGAGCUCAGAAUGUUGAUGAUCACGACACUUUUGUCGCGAGAGUUCAUGAAGAUGUAAUCGAUCGGUGACGACAUCAAGUCAAAGUAAUGAUGAAGUGAAAGGUUAUUGGAACCAAGGGUACAACACAAACUCGAAACCAAGUUUGUUGUUUAAGGUGAAAGGGUAUGACGAGGAAAAUCGACGUAAGCUUAGCUAUCGUCGCAAAUUGGUGCUCCGAGAAUAAGGACCAGGUAGCACCGUUAGAAUCGUCACGACAAUGAUAUAGCCAAACAGGCUAGGAAUGGCGUGAUCGGGUACAAACUCGUACUUAUAGAAGCUUACUGAAGAGUUGUUGAACCGUAGAGCGGACUCGGUUCAGUUAUCGGUGUCUUUGAGUGUUCAAUAACUCCGAGCCCAUGAAAAAUUGUAAUCGGUGAGUAUGUAGUACUUGAUGAAGAACUCAUAAGAAAUUAUGCAGUUCCAAGAUAAUCUCGAGAUACCAGGUGGUAAUACUCGACGACAGAUCAAACUAGAAGUUGAACUGGGGUAUUGCUCUAUAGAAGACAAGUGCUUAAACUUGCACAGGACAUGAUAUUUAAAGGAGAACAUGGUCAGAACCACGAUUGCAAAAAGGCCAGAUCUCAGAUAUAAGAUGAACUUAUACCAAGGGAAUAAUUGAUUUUAAAAGAAGCUUCGAUGAGAAGAUGUACAUCGUGUCCAUGGGCAUGAACGCAAAGUUCAAGGUCGAGUCCCACUUCUCCAUGCACAACCUUUCAUUCACUUCUCGCACUCAAUAAAGUUGUAGUUUUGAAAUUUUAUCUGGCAAAAUACCAGAAGAAUACGACUC